rnacentral:lncRNA from 1 species
AUAAAAGCGACUGACUUACUUGAAUUAAAAUCCUCAAGAAGAGGUGUCCCGCUCAAAUCGAAAUACCCAAAAAGAGGUGUCAAACCGCGGUACAAGUGUAAAAUGUGUGUGGACAAAAAAAAGAGUUUCCACUUGAGGGGGAGCAUUGUGAACUCACACUUAAGGGGAGUAUUAAGAAUAAUAAAUCAAGUGUGAGUUGGAAUCCCACAUUAGUUAUAAAUAUGGAGACUUGAACAUUUAUAAGUGAGAGAACCCACACACCUAUUACUUUAAGGUUUUGAGGGAAUAUGUAGUGUCUUUCUCACUUAUGUAUUGUUCUUAACCCAAUAUUGAUACUCCUCCUCAUGAUCUAACAAGGUAAAAUUAUUGUCAUAAAAAUAUAUAUAAUAUAUAUAUAAUUAUAUAUAGAGGAGUGGAGAGAGAGAGAGGGAGGAAGAGUAGUGUGAAUGGAUAUUUACAUCCUGUAACUAGUAUAUAGCUAACAUGACAGUAAUACCGAAAAUAUUAAUAAAGUUAACAAGAUAACAAAUUAACUACCGAUAAUAAAAGAAUAAAGAGGAGAAAUAUAAAAACAAGACAAAAUAAGUCAAAAUUAUUACAAUGUAUAAAAUAUAAUGUUAAUUUUUUUUAUUAAUAUAAAAAUUUAUAUAGCAAAAAUAAGAAAAAGAAAAAAUAUUUAAAAAAAUCAAAUCAUCAUAUAGAAUAUCACUUUUACAAAAUCUAUUAUUUGAAACAAAUUUACUAUGAAUUACUAAAAUCUUUGUACGGCUCUAAGUCAUAAUUCACAAGAAAAAAGAAAAGAAAUUUGAGUCCAAAUUAUGAAACACAAAUAAGUCAUAUAUAUGUUACUAGCUAGCUUUCAUGGUUGAUCUCCAAUAUUUCUUCAUCAGUCAUCACUUCAAUAUUCUUCACAAACAUUUUGGCGUUUGGUGCUGCAAAUCGAGCUGAGAAUGAAACUGAGAAAUAAUCAGGAUCAUUGAAAUAACCAUCAUCAAAAUUCUGUAAGUAUGAGUUGGGAUCAUAGAGAUACACAGAAGAAGAUGAUCUAAAAAUUUUCAUCUUUUUCUCUCUCUUGAUUUUCCUCCAGAGUUUUUUCAACCUUGCAAUCUUAAUUUUACUCAUAAAUUCAUUGACACAUACAAUAGGGUCAUGGCCAAUUCUCUCAUAACUUGACCAAAUAUUUCUGUUUCUUGAGCCUAGACAGUUGCAAUUUUCAAUAUCCAUAGUGUAUUUACCUAGAAAUCAUAAAAUAGUUUAAGGAAACAAUGUGUUUGGUGUGUAUUUACUAAGACUAAGAUUAAUGGCUAUUUAUAUAUGAUGACAUGAAUAACUUUUCUUUCUCUUUUUUCAGUUUCCUCAUCAGCACCUCAUCAAUGCCCAUACUUUAGGCUAUACAUUGGACCAACAAAAAGAAAAGGAAAAAGUUUGGAUAAUCCAGCUGUAUCCAGAAUUCCUUUUGAUGUCAACAUUUCAAGUCUUUACUAUAUUACUUUUUCGAAGAUACCUAGUGACUAUAAUACUACGUAGACUGCAUGGGAUUGUUUAAUUGUCAUAGUUACUAUGGAGAAAUAAAAACAGUGUUUCAAACAUCUAAGAGGUCACCUAAUUUUAGCUAUACUUAGUUUUGUUAAAUUGUUAUUUAUUUGAGAAAGUUUAUCAAGAAAAAGAAAGAUGAGCUUAUUGUAAUAUAAAUCUUAAUAUUUAUCCAAAAUUUUAAUUUUAAGGUAUCGGAUGAGUCAUCUUAUUUAUAAAAUAUUCAAUCUUUAUUUUUUAAAUUAAUGUAAGACUUUUAUUUCACAUUUGUAUCUCAAUAUUAUCUAACUCAAAAUUAAAUGAUCUUUGAUCUCAUCUGGAAAGUUAAUUGAAGAACGAAGUUGUCUAAAUAUAUUUAUACAUCUAAUAGUUAGAAAAUUUAAACAAUAUGAGACUCUCAAACAACUUUAACAACAUUAAUACAAUUUCUGUUUCUUGAGCCUAGACAGAUGCAAUUUUCAACAUCCAUAGUGUUGGUGUAUGGAGUAGAUAACCUAGAAGCCAUAAAGUAGUUUAAGGGACUAAUGUGUUUGGAGUGGAUUUACUAAGACUAAGAUUAAUGGCUAUUUAUAAAGGGAUGGCAUGAAUAACUUUUCUUUCUCUUUUUUGAAAUUUCAUCAUCACCACCUCAUCAAUGCACAUACUUUAGGCUACAUUGGACCAACAAAAAGAAAAAAGUUUGGAUAAUCCAGCUGUAUUAAUUACUUUUGACCGUAAUGCCUACGUAGACUACUACACGGGGCCAUUGUUUAAUGUCAUCUCUAGGCGUAACUAUUUACAUCUUAUGCUGAAUUAGGAAAUAUGAUGUCGGUUGUUGUCAUCCAUUUUCCUGCAAAGCCCUCAAGUCUGUGUUCCUAGUGUCGUAGGUUGAUGCCUUUAAAGCUUUCAAGCCUCCAAGGCGGAAUGAAUCCUCUAUGUUUCCAGGUUGAUCUCCUUACAAUGAUCACUGCAAACUAUUGUUUUAAACUAUGGUUGCGAUCGCUGAUCGCCGAUGUAAUUGUUGUUGCAGAGGUUGCGAUUGUGGUUGUUAUAAUAUGUCAUUACUAGAAAUACUCUCUUUGAACAUGGAAAUAUAUCUGCACGAAUACCUGCGGAUUUUGCUGCGAAAUAAUAAAACAAAAUAUACUUCCUACGGAUUUUACUACGAACUUUUCUACGGAUUUUCCUGCAAGUUACAUAACUGAUUAUAUUUUUCUACGAGUAUAUGCUCAGCAGAAAUUUCUGCAAGUAUACAUGCCGAAUUUACUGCAGAAAACACCUUUUCAGAUCCGCAUCAAACAACUUUUUGUAAUGACUUUUUUGAAUAAUUAUUUUUUGCAAAUAAAAAAUAAAAUAUUUCCCCAAGUCAAUUAAACAAUUAUUAAUACAAAUAAUUUAUUUAUUUUUAUAUUUAUGAUAUUGUUUAUUUAUAAAUUUUCUAAGUGAAUUUCUUAAUUUGUAUUUCUAAGGCACAAGUUAGUAUUAUUCAAAAAUAUUUAAUAAAUUAAAAUACUUCCUAAAAAUAAUAGUAGUUUUUAUUAAAAAUUUACCAACAAUAAAUUUUAAUUUAAUUUUAAAUUCAAAUUUAUUUUCUUUAAAUUAAUUUUAGUAAAUAUUAAUUUUAUUUAAUAUAUAUUUUUAAGCAUUUCAUAACUGUUGCAAGUAUUUUUGAAAAAUAUUUAUAAAAUUAAACUGAAAUUCUAGGACUUUAUGUUCUUUGACUCACGUUUUAUAUGUCACAUUAAAUUUAUGGUAUAAACCAAUGAUCCUUUAAAUGUAAAUCCUUUAAAUGUAAAUGUAAAGAUUAACUCUCAACUUCGGGAGGAUCUUAAUAGGCAACAAAAUUCUUCUUAAAAGGAUUUAACAUUUUAGGAUUAGAAUUUGAAUUCAAAUUUUUUUAUUAAUUUAUUAUCUAUGACAUGAAUUUUAAAGAUAUAUUUUAUAGUUAUCUUUUUUAAAAUAAUAUAUUAGCAAGUAAUAUCGAAAUCAGACAAAAUAUAAAAAGUAAAUAAUAUUUUACUUGUCAUAUUUUAAUUUAAUAAAAAGUAAAAAUUUAUGAAGGAAUAUGGUAAAACUACCAUUAGCAGAAUUGAUAUUUUGAAAUUUUAACUGGUGAAUAAAAGUCUAUAUUUAACUAAAAAGUAUUCUAGACUAUGCUAUAAUAAAUUGAGGAGUAAAACAAAACCUUCACUGUUCCACUCAAUCCUAACCUAUCAAAGGAACCUCGUAAUAGAUAAAUUUUGGGAAUCGCAUCGGUUCUACCACGACCAGGCCAUCACCCGUUCCACCACGACCAAUCUUGAGUCUUUUGUUUUCUUUAAGUUUUUGUAUCUUUAUUGAUGCAUUACAUUGUUUUACAUGCUAGAUGACUUGUUUGAGAACAAGCAAGGGUUGAAGUUUAUGGGAGUUUGAUAACUUGAAAAUAUUUCAUAUUUCCGACUCAAUUCAUAUGUAUUUUCACGUCAUUUUCUACGUAUUUUUAUGGUAUUCUAUGUCUAUUUCAGGUGCUUAAUAGUAAUGGACCUCCGCACGAGAGAACCGUGUGAAACGACGAAAACAAAAGCAAAAGACGUGUAUUGUACUAUCAUGAUGAGCCCACUGCCAGCAUGACGGUCUUCAUGACGUGUGCAGUUCAACCUGUCACAGGAAGCUAACAAAAAAAAGGAAGAAAACAUGUUUGAGCUGGAUGACGGGUAGGUUGUCAUCUAGAUGACGCUCAUCAUCCUCCUCCACCUCAUAAUUGAUGGAUCGUCAUUGCCAUGACGCUCAUCAUGAGCUUAAUGGCCAGAAAUUUCGUCCACGUAUCAGGGACUCAUCCAAAGCCAUUCCUCUAAUUUAUCCACUUCUCCUACAUGAUCUGAGGCACCCCAAUACGAAUUUCGACACUAUAAAUAGGACAUUUCAGUUUAGAAAAUAUCAUUCAAACUUAGUAUUAUUUUUAAGCCAGAAAAAAUACUUAUUGUAAAGCGAUAACUUUCUCACAUCAGGAAUUAUUAUAACUUUUAGGCAUAAUUUGGAUAUUGUAUGUUUGUAUUUGAAUUGUUGCAAUCUUGUCAGCAUUGGGAUUUAUUUCAAGUAUUUUCUGUUCCAAUUUGGAACACUUUUUAAUAUUAUUACAUUUCAAUUAUUCAGGUUCUCUAUUUCUUUCUAAUGCUUUUAGAUUGUUUUAUUAACUGGAUUUGUUGCUACUUUAUAUUGUUAUUAUGUUUAGUAUGAACAUGAAUAGCAUUUACAGUAACAUUUAGGUAAAUAAUAUGACUAUUUAAUUCGGCCAAGUUUGUAAUGUGAAGACUGUUGUAUGGACGAUGCUCUAAUUAUGUCGUUAAAAUUACAAUUAAUUCGAAAAUUGUUUCUGACCUGAGUAUUUUUUGUUUUCAAUUUUAAAAUUUAUUGUGAAAGCAGAAACUUAGAGAUACUGAUCUCAAUUCAAAAGAAUGAAACCUUUAUCUCACCAUAAAAAAUCCAGUUUUUGAUUUUAAACACUAUGAAAGCAUUUUCUAGUCAAGUAGAAAAAAAAUAAUUUUCAAAAAGGCGAUUUUAAAAGUAUAAGCAGACACACGAAAACGGACAUUUAUACGCUUAAAACUCGUACUAGACAUGCGAGUAGGCAGUACCUUUAAAUUAAUUUUUCUAUCUUAAGUAAUUAUUCAAGUAAUUAAAAGUAAUUAUUUUUCAAAAAGAAUUUUGCACUGUAACACGUUGGACACGCGAAAGCAAGCAGUUAGAUUACUGGCUAUAAUUGUGUAUCGGUCAUGCGAAAACGAGUGAUACCUUAAAAAUUAAUUCUUUUUCUACGAGAAAAUAUUGUCUCAUUUUAAUUCUAAUUAACGACUUUAUGAGCGAUAACGGCCGACGAGAACCACAUUUCGGUCUCUCGUCUCAUAAUUAAUUUCAAAACACCUUAUUUUUCUUUUAUUUGCAAACAAAAACACUAUCUCAUUGUUUGCAUUAGUCUACGUGGGUUCGACACUUUUUAUAUUAUAAUCGAUAUAUUCAUGCACUUGUAGACCUAUCAUUUCACUAGUGCAGAAGGACAAAGUCACCAUAAUUUUGUCAUCAAUCCAAGGAUACUCGAAAACAUCAUCGGAUAGUUCAAGCAUUAAUGGUGGUGACCUCUUCUCCAUAUAUGUUUCAUCGUUUACAAACUAAAAUUACUUACCAUAAGUAUUACAUCACAAUAGUUCUUUUAACCACCACCUUACCUCAUCCUCUAAAACCUCACACUUGAACAUACUCUCUAAAUUCCUAAAUCUUUAGGCUUAACUACCACUUGUUUGGUUCUAAUAUGAAAUAAAAUAUAUGAUAGUUAACUUUAGGCGCAAACUAGUAUAACCCUAAUUUAAAUAGUUGAACUAUGUCAACCAACACUCUUUUUGCGUUUUUAGUUUUGUUUGAAACUAUGUGGACAAGAAAAUAAAGAUUGUAAGUGAAAUGAUCCUUUCACAUUAAAAAAAAAAGUAGUCUCUUAAUUUCUCAAAGGUUGGUGGGCCAUUAAAUAAAGACGAUAAAAGAAAGAGAAAAAAAAGAGUGAUCUGACUGUAAUUUUGUUACCUUUCAAGAAAAAUGUUGUCAAAAUAACAAAACUAAAAAUAGCAAGUGGCUGAGUCAAAAAAACAAAGUCAGAAGUGGAUGUCUUUUUUUAUAUGAUAAGUGGAAGUCAUUUAAAAAAUUUAAAGAUAACACUUUACAUUUUAUUUAUUCCCCGUUUACAUUUUUCUUCUUUUCUAAAUUCAAAUACAAAGAUGAUUAUGAUAGACAAUUUUUUUUCCUCAUUCUCAAUUUCAAUUUGUUCAUCUUAUUAUUUAGUCCUUUUCCAACAUUGAUAAUGUAAUGGAAUAACUACAACAGAUACUUUACAUAAACUUUUACUCAAAUAACUCAUUUUUUCAAAAAAAAAAUCUCAAAAUAAUCAACAUUUUAGAUAAUUUCAUAAAAUAACCUAUUUUGAAGAAUCAAUGUCAGAUGAAUUGGUGUUUGCUCUCUAAGUUAAAGAGGUGGCGUCAAUUGGAUUGGCUUAUGCACCUAGUGCUGUCAAUUCAAUUGGCAUCUAUUUAUUAGGUUUAAAAUGAGGCGUUAAUUGGUCUGACACCUAUGUGUGUUGCAUAUUUUUUUUAAACAAUGUAUAUUUUAUAUAAAAGUCGAAAUCAGACCAAUUGAUAUUAAUAUUAAUAUGCGUUUACAUAUGAAUACCAAAAAGACUAAUGUCGUUGACCGGGAUGACCUAACCGACCUCUGGUACCACAUUCUCUAGCUACCCAAACGUGUGGUCCUAAUUCACGUUGAUGAUUCACCCUAUGAGGUUUUCUAUAGAAACCUGGGUUAGACUAUUUUGAGGUGUUUGCUCCUGUAGCGAGACAUGAGACAAUUAGACUGGUGAUUGUGAUAGUUGCUAACAAGAAUUGGCCUCUGAUGCAUCUGGAUGUGAAAUCGGCAUUUCUGAAUGGUCCAUUGCAAGAAGAGGUAUACGUGUCACAACCCCCUGGAUUUGAGAAAAACGAUCAGGAAGGAAUGGUGUUCAAGUUGCAUAAAUCCUUGUAUGGAGUGAAACAAGCUCCUCAAGCUUGGAAUUUGAAGAUUGAUUCAUUUUUCAAGCUUCAAUAAUUUAUAAAAUGUGAGAUGGAGUAUGACGUUUAUGUUCAACAUACUUCUAAAGGCAAUAUGAUUCUGGUGUGCCUCUAUGUUGAUGACAUGUUGCUAACAAGGAGUCGUGAACAUGAGAUGACUAAGUUCAAGAAGGUGCUGAUGAAUGAGUUUGAGAUAACUGAGUUAGGAAAGAUGACAUAUUUCUUAGGGAUUAAGUUUAUGUACUCUGAGAAGGAUAUCAUUUUGCACCAGCUGAAGUAUGAACUUGAGCUUCUGAAAUGAUUCAAGUUGCUAAAUUGUAAGGUUGUUAUCACACCGUCUGAAACAAAUCACAAAUUAAAUUCUGAUUCUGAAGGUGGUGAUGUAGAUUCCAUAACUUGUAAGCAGUUAGUUGGCUCUCUAAGAUAUUUGUGUAAUAUCAGGCUUGAUAUUUGUUAUGCAGUUGGAAUGGUAAGUAGGUUCAUGAAUAAACCGAAGUUGUCUCAUUACCAAGUUGCUGUCAGAAUUAUGAGGUAUAUAAGGGGACCCUGAAGUAGGGGUUUUGUUCCCUUCUGGAGAGAAGACUAAUUGAGAGUUGAUGUGUUACUCAGACUCUGAUCGGUGUGGAGACAGAGUUGAUAGAAGAAGUACUUCUUGAUAUUUGUUUAAGUAUCUAAGAGGUCAUAUUUCUUGGUGUUCCAAAAGCAACCAGUUGUUGCUUUGUCAACUUGUGAAAUUGAAUACAUUUAAGGUGUUGUGGUUGCAUGUUGUUAUGAUAAGGUUAGUAUGUCGGGUUUUUGUUAUCGUCUCCACAGGGAUUGUGAGAUAUCUCCGCCUUUCGACAGUUGUUUUAAUUCUUAACUUGUAGUAACGAGGGGGGUUUUAGUUUUUGUCACGGUAUCUUGCAUAAAAGAGUAAGAAAAUAUGGUAAAAGUUUUGGUUUUCUAUUUGAGAAAUAAAACCUUGACAAAAUGAAGGACUUAGCUACUCAUUUUCAUGGUAGCUUGUACAACAAGUUUCGGUUGAAGGUUGAUCAACAUCAGAGUCGAAGAAUCGAGAUUGGAUGGGAAUCCACCUUCUUUUUGUAGAAUAUUGUUAAGAGAUAAAGAAAAAUGAAGAAAAAGUGUUUCUAGGUUCAAAAAUAUGAUCCCAAGAAAUGCUGAAAAUAUCUAAGUGAAAAAGUUGGUUUCUUCAAAAAAGUAGCCCCAGCUACUUAUACUACUGUUGUCUAAGCUGUCAUGCUCGUUGGGCGAGCAGAAUGGUUCGCCUAGCGAGCCCCAAAAUGAGGCACCAGAGGCACCUGCGCCCAGAGAAAUAUCCUUGGCCAGAUUUCAUGUGUUCGCUAGGCGAAGAAACCGUCGCUAGGCGAAGCCCACGCUUCCACCUUCGCUCCAGCGAGUUUAGAUGGUUUUGCUACUGGAAUUGCUCGCUGGGAGCUCGUUAGUGGCUCGCCUAGCGAGCAAGUGCUGGCUGUGCUUUUGACCAAGUCAGGGCGUGUUCGCUACCACCUUCGUUGGCUGCUCGCCUAGCGAGUUUGCUGGCUUUUGCUACUGUAAAAUUCUGGGGAUGUUCGCUGGAAGCUCGCUGGGUUCUCGCCUAGCGAGCGCUUCGCUACAGCACUCGCCUAGCGAGCAUGCUGAUGAAUGCUUCCUCUCUUGGUCCCUUUUCCAACUUUCUUGUGUCUUUGUUUUCUAUUCUUUCAUGUUUAAUUUCUGCACAAUAACACACAAAUUAAAGGUACCAAGAUCAUUUAACAUUGUAUUGCAAAUCAUUAAAGGCAAAGGCGCUUUCGAACACUUUAGCAACAAAAAGGAGUGAAAGAUGCCCACAUUUGAUAGCUCAAAUAAGCAUUUUUGGGCAUCUAACAACUCUCCCCAACUAGAUUAUUGCUUGUCCUCAAGCAAAGUAUGCCUCUUGAAGGACAAGAGGAUUUGCUUUAAGAAAAAGGUUUCUCCGAAAUUGGAUAAAACGGCUCAAACACAAGAAAAUCAACUAGGUACAAGUUCCCAAUGGUUAGAAUAACAUGAUGCACAAGAACUAAAACUUAAUAGCAAUGCAAAAUAUGUAUCUAUCCACAACAAUAUUAUCUUGAAUGAAUCACCCUAUCUCUCCUCUUCGAAUAAGGAUUGAAGAAAUUACGCGUUUGCAACCGCACAAGAACUAAAACUUAAUAGCAAUGCAAAAUAUGUAUCUAUCCACAACAAUAUUAUCUUGAAUGAAUCACCCUAUCUCUCCUCUUCGAAUAAGGAUUGAAGAAAUUACGCGUUUGCAACCGCGGGAACAAUCUCUCUCUCCAACAAACAAUGAAGAAAUUAAUUCAAUUCAUACAAUAUCUAACAAUUAUAAAUGAAAAUGCGGAAGCACGAAGAUCACUAAGGACUUUUCGGUUGUAGAUUGGUUAGGUUUACAAACAAGGGUCAUUUCUAAGGCCAUUGAAAACGAACUUGCCGAUGCAAAAGAGACAUUCACUGUACACUAUUCACACAUCUCAACUUCGUUCCCUUUGUUUCUCAUUUGAAACCUUCACAGCUCUUAUUUUACAACUCAAUUUUUGUUUUUCACUAUUUUUCUUCCAAGCAAGCAUUCAUUUUCAUUUUCUCUAUUUUUUUUUCUUUCACAUCAUAUUUACAAAACAGAUGUUUCUCUUUUCUAAUUUUUAUUAUAUUUUUUUAUGCUUGCUCGGUUUUUCAAGAGUUGUGGCACUUACCGAUUCUCAUUUUCAUUCUCCCCAACUUAUUUCUUUUACUCACCCUAAGUGAAUGCUCUUGACUUUUUACGGCAAAAGAACAAUUAUUAAAAUUUUCCGGGUUUCAAGAAAAAAGAAUUUUGACAUCUCGCUUUAUUUCAAGCAGAGAUUCAACUGUUUAAGCUCAAAGGGGUUAACGAAUACUCUCUCUGCUCACAGGUAAGUUGUAUUUGGAACUGGUUGUGCUCGAUAGAAAACAAGCGCCUUGAUCAUUUCUAAUUGCUUCCACAUAUUCAUAAUAAUAAAAGACCAAGCAUGAAUCAAAUGAAUCAACAAAGUUUAUUAAUUUCUAAUUGCUUCCACAUAUUCAUAAUAAUAAAAGACCAAGCAUGAAUCAAAUGAAUCAACAAAGUUUAUUAGAAUCCAGCAUUUAAGUGUACAAUGGAGGUUUCCUCACAAUUUGUGGUUCUAAGACCUAGAUGAAACAUUCAUUCAAUUAUGUUGCAAAAAGAACAAUAUUCAAUUACAAAAAGAGUAAAGUUCUUAAUGCAUUCUAAAAUUCUAACCGAAGGUAACCAUGUACCUUAGCAUUAUUCGCUUGUUAUUUUUAUCAUUGCCAUCCAAGCUCGGAUGCACCUUCAUUGAAUACUUCUUUGAGGAGCAACCAAUCUAGAAGGUUUGACACUCAACAACCAAAAAUUUAUUUAAACAAAAGAAAUUAAACCAAACACAAUAAUUUAUAUAAAAAAAAAACUAUUACUUCAAAAUUUUAAAAUGUGCAUGGGGGACAAAACACCCCAAAAGUACAUAACUAAUACCAAAAUACUACAUAUUUGGAAAUACAAUGAAAUAAAAUAAAACAUGAAAAAUAAAACAAACUUAGCCCUCAAAGGACUCAGAACCCUCAUCAUUACCGGCUUCAGAACCGGUAACAUCAUCACUAUCAUCAUCAUCAUCAUCAUCACCGUCCUCAGCACCACCAGAAGCACCGGCACCCGCCCCCUCUCCGAACACAGGCCUGUCCACAGGCCAGCUAGCGUGCUGCAGAAACUGCUCACAUGUCAUCAUUGAAUGCUCACCGGAGGGGUCACGCACCUGCAACUGCAACAACUGCAUAGAAUCGUGAAUAUCGAGCAUGGCGCGCUGAGUUGCCGCCGUCCAAUCCCAAUUAUAGUUGCAGACAGCCUGCUGGAAAGGAUCGGAUCCAUGAGCAAAACUACCAGGACCAUCAGAAGUCCCGGUAACAUCAGCAGCUGAACUACUCCUGAAAUUCUUCGGUUUGCAGUACUUGGCCUGUAUAGACAGUAGCUACCGACCGCCCUAGGAGUGAACUGAGGCCCUCGGUAGCUUCACCCUCGCAUGUUGGCACAAAGCCAUGAUGAGACACGGGAAAGCAAGGGGACAGUUAACUCGUGCCCCUGACUUUAGCCCGCUCUCAAUCACGGACUUCAACUCUAAAGCAAUUAUCCUCUCCAUAUCAAUCUGAAUAUUCGUGAGAAUGCAGUGAACCAAGUGUGCCACUGGGAUCGGCACGGUUGAAGUGUGAGACUUGGGUUUGAUAUUUGUCAGAACCAACAAAAGGAUUAGUUGAGCCAAGGGAAUCAUGUCCUCCCUAUGGUAUCUCAUCGGCACCGCAGAUGGGUUCAACUCAACUGAUUUCCCUUCAAAUAAUAGGGCGGCAGAAAUAGAAUCGGUAUCCCAGUGAAGCCUUAAAUCCCUAUGGUAAGUGUCCCUCUCAUUGGCUCCCAGAUGGAGCGGUUCACCCAGUACACGGUUAAUUGUGUCCCGAUCGAAAGCAACAGUACGGCCGGAGACUCUAGUCGUCCAUGUGAAUGGCUCGUCAUCGUUAGGCAGUGCGUACCCAGAUGGAGCGGUUCACCCAGUACACGGUUAAUUGUGUCCCGAUCGAAAGCAACAGUACGGCCGGAGACUCUAGUCGUCCAUGUGAAUGGCUCGUCAUCGUUAGGCAGUGCGUUCGCGUAGAACUGACGCACUGUUUCGAUGUCAUAGUGCUCAAGGGGAGAUAUCAACCGGUCCCACUUCUUGCUAUGAAUCAACAGAGCAAAUGUUCGGUAUUCGCCCUCGGGGUUGAUUAUAAACCUUUUCUCCGGCAAAAUGUUUCUCUUCUCUAAAGCCACAUAUCUAGCCGCUUGCUUUGCCCCGGCAAAUUUGUCGGUGUCGAACUGUAUGGGCACGGUACGGAAAGUGCUCCCGACCUUUCUCUUUUUAGACGCGCUCGACCUGGAUGCCAUCUGUAAAGACAUAGAGAGGAAACAACACAAACACAAAACAGAUUAGAAAGCAAAACAGAAAAUCCAACUACUGUCAUGGUCGCUGCUGCUUCGCCUAGCGAGGACCUAGCGAAGCUUCGCUACAGGGUCGCCUAGCGAAGUGGCAGCGAAUGCUCGCCACUGAUUCGCCUAGCGAGGUGCUAGCGAAUGUUACGGGUUCUGGGUUCUGCAUUGUUUAACAACCUAAUUCCAGACAACCCUAAGUCUCAUGGUAUCCCUUUCAGAAACUAAGUGAUAUAUCAGGCAAGGCAUAAUUCUAAGAUACAUGCAAAUCUAAACCCACAUGCAAAACCUAACGAUACCCACUCUACCAAAUUCACCCUAAAUGUCACAUACUUCAGAAAUUUACAAUGUGAAAGCAUAAAGUAAUGGAAUUAGGGCAAACCUUAGUGGAGAGAUCAACUGAAAUUGAAAUGCACGGUUGGGUUUGCAAUGCAAUGUUAGGGUAUGAGUGAGAUGGAAAGUGAGAGAGUGAUUGUGAGUGCUUGAGGUUCAGACAACACACUUAAAAAUGGUUUUUGGGCCCAAAAGAGUGGCCUGCUGAAAAUUAAAUGGUUUUCUGCCACGCAGCGCUCGCUACUGCUUCGCCUAGCGAGCAGCUAGCGAAUCAGCUCGCUACUGCCUUCGCCUAGUGAGCAUCUAGCGAGCAUGACAGCAUUUUGUUUUUUUUUUCAAAACAGCAUUCCAAGCACAUUUCAGCAAGUUUUAUCAAUAUGAACACCAAUACCACACAACAAAAAACUUUUAAAUACUUACAAUGUUGGGGUGCCUCCCAACAAGCGCUUGUUUAACGUCGGAUAAGCUCGACGGUUCGAUGCUCACAGAGGAGCAUCCAAGGAAAUAGCACAGCUCCCGCGAUCCACAUGACAUUGGGGUGCCUCCCAACAAGCGCUUGUUUAACGUCGGAUAAGCUCGACGGUUCGAUGCUCACAGAGGAGCAUCCAAGGAAAUAGCACAGCUCCCGCGAUCCACAUGACCGCCGAGAUAAACCUUCAAAUGUUGGCCAUUCACCGUCCAACUCUCUUUCUUUUCCAAGUCUUCAAUGACAAUAGCUCCAUAUUCCUUGACUUCUUUGACCCGAAAUGGCCCGGACCAUUUAUAUUUCAAUUUUCCGGGGAAUAGCUUCAACCUGGAAUUGAACAAUAGGACCAACUGUCCAGGCACAAAUUCCUUCUUUCGAAGCUUUUUGUCAUGAUACUUUUUUACCUUCUCUUUGUACAACAAACUCGAGUGAUAUGCGGCAUUGCGCAUCUCUUCCAACUCAAGCAAUUGCACUUUCCUUUUCUCACCGGCCAAAUCCUUAUCAAAGUUUAAUAAUUUUAGGGCCCACAAUGCUUUGUGCACCAAUUCAACCGGUAAAUGGCAAGUUUUACCAAACACUAAUUGAAAAGGAGUUAGCCCAAUUGGAGCUUUAAAAGCGGUACGGUAUGCCCAUAACGCUUCAUCCAAUUUUUUUUACCACUCUUUUUUCGAAUUUGACACGGUUUUUUCAAGAAUUCUCUUAAUCUCACGAUUAGAGACUUCGGCUUGACCAUUAGCUUGUGGGUGAUACGGAGUUGCCACUCUAUGUGAUACACCGUAAUGUUUCAAAACAUUUUCUAACGGUGCAUUACAAAAGUGUGACCCUCCGUCACUAAUCAACACUCGGGGGGUUCCGAAACGGGAAAAGAUGUUUUUCUUUAAGAAUUUUAUUACCAUUUUAGCAUCUGCCCGAGGUGAGGCAAUCGCCUCAACCCACUUAGAAACGUAGUCAACCGCCACAAGCAUAUACUCGUUACCAUAAGAGGGUGGGAAUGGUCCUAUAAAAUCGAUACCCCAACAAUCAAAUACUUCAACCUCUUGGAUGUUUUGGAGAAACAUCUUGUCUCUCUUACCAAUCCCACCGCUUCUCUGGCAAUUAUCACAACUUUGCGUAUGGGCAUGUGCGUCUUUGAAAAUAGUGGGCCAAUAAAAUCCUGACUGAAGGACUUUAGUGGCCGUUCUUACCCCAUUAUAAUGUCCGUCGUAAGGCGAGUUGUGAUAAUGCCAGAGAAUGCUUUGUGCCUCAUCGCCAGUAACGCAUCUCCUUAAAAGGUUAUCACCACCCAACUUAAACAAGUAUGGGUCAUCCCAUACGUAGUACUUGGCAUCCGAGAGAAAUUUCCUUUUUUGGUUCGAAGUUAGGUCGGGAGGCACCAAACCACUAGCCUUGUGGUUCGCAAAGUCUGCAAACCACGACCUAACUUGAACUUUAAAAAGUUUUUCAUCAGGAAACUCUUCUCGGAUUUCCUUCUCUGAAGCUGUAACCUCCACAUUAACUAGGCGAGAUAAAUGAUCCGCCACCAAAUUUUCCGAUCCUUUCUUGUCUUUGAUUUCAACAUCAAAUUCUUGCAACAAGAGGAUCCAACGGAUGAGCCUUUGCUUCGAAUCCGGUUUGGUGAGCAAAUAUUUAAUCGCCGAGUGGUCGGUAUACACUACGACUUUGGACCCUAUAAGAUAAGACCUAAACUUUUCAAGCGCAUACACUAUCGCAAGUAAUUCUUUUUCAGUGGUGGCAUAGUUAAUUUGAGCCUCAUUAAGAACUUUACUUGCGUAGUGUAUCGCAUGAAAUUUUUUCUCUUUUCUUUGGCCUAAUACCGCUCCGAUUGCAUAGUCGCUCGCAUCACACAUGAGCUCAAAAUUUAAAUUCCAAUUUGGAGCGACUAUAAUUGGAGCGGUAACCAAUUUUUCCUUUAAAAUUUCGAAAGCUUGUAAACACUCAUCAGUUAAAAGAAAUACCUGGUCCUUAGCUAGCAAAUUACUCAAAGGCUUAGCUACCUUUGAGAAGUCUUUGAUAAAGCGCCGAUAGAAACCGGCAUGCCCCAGAAAGCUUCGGAUUCCCUUCACAUUCACCGGAGGAGGUAACUUUUCAAUCACUUCAACUUUAGCACGAUCAACUUCAAGCCCUCUUGAAGAGACUUUAUGGCCAAGCACAAUCCCCUCGGUCACCAUGAAGUGGCACUUCUCCCAAUUAAGCACAAGAUUGGUCUUCACACAUCUUUCAAGAACCGUUUCCAAGUUUGCCAAGCAUAGACUAAAAGAACCACCAAAUACUGAGAAGUCAUCCAUAAAGACUUCUAUUGUUUUCUCGAUAAGGUCGGCAAAAAUAGCUUGCACACAUAUUUGGAAAGUCGCCGGUGCAUUGCAUAACCCAAAGGGCAUUUUACGGUAUGCGAAAAUUCCAAACGGACAUGUGAAAGCCGUCUUUUCAUGAUCGGACGGGUCAACCGCAAUUUGGUUAUACCCGGAAUAGCCAUCUAAAAAACAAUAGUAUUGUUGUCCCGAGAGUCUUUCUAACAUUUGAUCCAUGAACGGGAGUGGAAAAUGAUCUUUUCGAGUUGCAGUAUUCAACCGCCUAUAAUCAAUACACAUACGCCACCCCGUUGCAACUUUUGUCGGGAUCAACUCAUCUUUUUCAUUUCGAAUCACGGUCAUGCCAUCUUUCUUCGGAACCACAUGCACAGGACUAACCCAUGUGCUAUCCGAAAUCGGGUAAAUCAUUCCCGCAUCCAACAACUUGACAACUUCCUUUCUAACAACUUCCUUCAUAGUAGGAUUUAAGCGGCAUUGUGGUUGAGCUACCGGCUUAAAAUCCUCUUCCAUUAAGAUCUUGUGCAUGCAAUAGGAAGGACUAAUUCCUUUGAGAACUUCCUUCAUAGUAGGAUUUAAGCGGCAUUGUGGUUGAGCUACCGGCUUAAAAUCCUCUUCCAUUAAGAUCUUGUGCAUGCAAUAGGAAGGACUAAUUCCUUUGAGAUCGGAAAGAGUCCAACCCAGGGCUUCUUGAUUCUUUUUCAACACAUUGAUCAAACGGGCUUCUUCAUUCUUUGUCAAAAGGUUGCUUAUGAUAACCGGCUUUGCUUCAGUCUCGUCGAGGAAGGCAUACUUCAAAGUGGAAGGUAACAUUUUCAAUUCAAUUGGCGAUUUUUCUUCAUUAACCUCCUUCUUCAAGUCUUCCUUCUCAACUUCCCACGGAUGCAACUCUUCUAGACUAUCAAGUUCCCUUAGGCAUUCAUCAAGAGCUUGCUUUUCUUCAAUUGUGAAAACCUCAAAGGAGUCAUCAAGAGCUAACUCCAUAGGGUCUAUCUCAUGACUAUGCUUAGAAACCUCGAAAGUUGCCUCUUCGAUCACAUCAAUGCGAAAGCGAUCACUUCUAUCCUUUGAAUGCUUCAUGGCUUCGAAUAGAUCGAAAGUAACUUCUUCAUUUUGGACCCUUACCUUCAUAAAACCGUCGUCAACGUCAAUCAUCAUGCGUGCGGUUUUCAUGAACGGUCGGCCAAGAAUAAGUGGAGCAUCGUCGUCCUCUUCCAUAUCAAUCACAAUGAAGUCAACCGGGAAGAAAAAUUUGUCAACUUUGACCAAAACAUCUUGGGCUACGCCAUGAGGAUGGGUAGUCGACUUAUCGGCCAAUUGCAAAGUCAUCCGGAUGGCCUUCAUUUCAAUAUUGCCAAGCCUCUUCACAAUAGACAAUGGUAUUAGAUUAAUGCUUGACCCCAAAUCAAUUAGUCCCUUUUCGACAUAGACAUCACCAAUUUUAACCGGCAAGGUAACUCGUCCCGGAUCAACCUCUUUUUUCGGAAGCAUCCGUUGAAUGAUUGCACUACAACUCGCAUCUAGGACAAUUGUCUCUGGUUCCGUGUACCUCCGUUUUUUAGUAAGUAUGUCUUUCAUGAAUUUUGCAUACUUAGGCAUUUGCUCCAACGCUUCGGUAAACGGAAUGUUCACUUGCAAUUGUUUGAAAAUAUCCAUGAACCGGGCGUAAUGCCGUUCAUUCUCCCUCUUAGAUGGAGCAUGUGGAUACGGAAGGUUUUAGAUUGGAGUAGCGCUCACUACCUUCUUUCCUUUAGCAACUCUAGAACUCCUCGCUCUUUUCUUUUUCACUCCCUCCACCAUCACUUCAUCACUCUUAUUUUUCUCAAUUUCCACACUUUCUUUAUUUUCAACUUCACCAUUUUUUUCAUUCGUUUCAACUUCUUCCUCACUCCACUCCCCAACUUCACCAUCAAUAAUAUCCUCUAUUUUUUUCUCCUCAUCUUUUUUCUCUUCCUCUCUUUUUUCACUCUCAUCUCUUUUUUUACUCUCACUAAUCAACUCCCUUCCACUUCUCGUCGUUAUCGCUUUACAAUGCUUUUUAGGAUUCGUUUGCGUGUUCGCCGAGAAAGAUGGACCGGGUUGUUGUUCCACUAGUUGUUUAGCAAGUUGUCCGACUUGAGUCUCAAGAUUUUUGAUUGCCGCAUUGUUACUCUUUUGAUUAGCCAUCGACAUUUGCAUAAACUGUGUCAAUGUCUCUUCCAACUUUGAAGUCACGACUGGCGGUUGUUGAGGUUGGUAAGGAUUUUGGGGAGGGUUUUGAUGGCUAGAAGAACCAUCCCCAUAACCUUGGUUAUGGUAAUAGUUAGUACUUGGUUGGAACCCUUGAUUCCCUUGAAAGUGUUGUUGUUGAUUUGGAGGAUGUGGUUGAUACGGUUGUUGUUGUUGUUGCCUCGGUUGGUAGUCUCGUUGGUUCGCCAUGUAGUUCACUUCUUCGAACCCGGGAGGUGGACAAAACCCGGUGUCAUGCUCACCUUUGCAAAGCUCACAACAAGCUAUUUGUUUAGCUUUUGAAGGCUCUCUCAACUCUUUUAUUUGUUGAGUUAAGAGUUAUCACUUCUUCGAACCCGGGAGGUGGACAAAACCCGGUGUCAUGCUCACCUUUGCAAAGCUCACAACAAGCUAUUUGUUUAGCUUUUGAAGGCUCUCUCAACUCUUUUAUUUGUUGAGUUAAGAGUUCUACUUGUUCUGAAAUGAGUUUGUGUUGGGCAAGAAUAGCAUCGUUUAUCCCAAGUUCAAGCACUCUCGGUUUCUUCAAAGAGUUGCCUCUACUUUGACUUUGGAGGUCAUUUAGAGCCAUUCGGUUAAUGAUAUCUGUAGCUUCUUCGGCGCUUUUAGACAACAAAGAACCACCCGAAGUAGCAUCCAACAAAGUCUUGCAAUUUGGUUGAAGACCAUUUUUGAAAAUGUGGAUUUGCGUCAAUUCGUCAAAACCAUGCCCUUUGCACUUCCAAAGCAUGGAUUUAAAUCUCUCCCAUGCCUCAUUCAAUGAUUCGUUGGUUCCUUGCGAAAACACGGAGAUAGCUGUUUUGGAUUCCAUGAAACGGUUGUGGGAGAAAAAUCUUUCAAUAAACUUCUCUUCCAACACGUUCCAAUCCGUCAUGACUGCAGGUGUUUGAUCCAAGUACCAAUCUUUGGCUUUGCCGAGCAAAGCAUGAGGAAAUAGCCUUUUGAACAACGGUAACUCUUGAGCUUGAUCAACUCCGGCCGCCAAUGCUAUCUCGUAAAAUUUAGUGAGAAAAGCAAAGGGGUCUUCAUGGUCCAUUCCGGUGAAUGGACUUCCAUAUAGCAAGUUAAGAGUUCCCGUCUUCAUCUCCGCUUGCCUUCCCGUGUGGUUGGCAAACUGAGCAGUAUUCGUUGGACUGUUGACACAUGGUGUGGAAAUGGGCGGUGGUUGUGGUGGUUGAUCCAUGAUAGGUGUGAAAGGUGGUGGAUGUGUUGUAGAAGAACUUUCUCUUUGUUCAUGUCGUUGUCUAGCUUGUUGCCUCCUUCGUCUCGUUCUGCUAUUCAGUCUCCUUGCGGUUCUUUCGAUCUCAGGAUCAAAAAGAAGUUGGUCCUCAGGAACCUGCCCUCGCAUAAAACGAUAGCUGCACACUAAACCAAACAAAUUAACAAGUACAAGUAAAAAUUCGUUAGCUAAAAAUUAAGCAACUAUUGCGAUGCUCGCAAUAUCAAUUCACAAUCCCCGGCAACGGCGCCAUUUUGUUAUGAUAAUGUUAGUAUGUCGGGUUUUUGUUAUCGUCUCCACAGGGAUUGUGAGAUAUCGCCGCCUUUCGACAGUUGUUUUAAUUCUUAACUUGUAGUAACGAGGGGGGUUUUAGUUUUUGUCACGGUAUCUUGCAUAAAAGAGUAAGAAAAUAUGGUAAAAGUUUUGGUUUUCUAUUUGAGAAAUAUUGUCAAAGUUAGGGUUCGACGAUCACUUUGCAUGCAUAUGUUCGAAUCAACAAGACUUCAUAAACUCCUUUAGAUGAUAAAUUAUUUCACAAAGUUCCUCCCAUGUGUUUAUCUUAACCACGCAUUGUGGGUUUUCCCAUUUUGAUCCAUUGUUGAUCUCUCACACAAUCUAUCAAAUUGAAACUUUUGGUUCAACUUUAUGGUGAACAAAAUCAUUCAUUACUAUCUCAGCUAACAAACAAGAUUGGAUGAAAACCUAGGUAAAGAGUUGGUAAGACAUCUCUCGAUCAUAAACCAACACAAAGAGUUAUCAAUAAAACAAAGUUUUCAUCAUAUAUUCAUCAUUAAAGAGUUUACAAAUGAAGAUCAUCCCAUAUACAUACAAAGCUUGUGAUCACCUACAUCUAACUUUGACAAAAUGAAGGACUUAGCUACUCAUUUUCAUGGUAGCCUGUACAACAAGUUUCGGUUGAAGGUUGAUCAACAUCCGAGUCGAAGAAUCGAGAUUGGAUGGGAAUCCACCUUCUUUUUGUAGAAUAUUGUUAAGAGAUAAAGAAAAAUGAAGAAAAAGUGUUUCUAGGUUCAAAAAUAUGAUCCCAAGAAAUGCUGAAAAUAUCUAAGUGAAAAAGUUGGUUUCUUUCAAAAAGUAGCCCCAGCUACUUAUACUACUGUUGUCUGAGCUGUCAUGCUCGCUAGGCGAGCAGAAUGGUUCGCCUAGCGAGCCCCAAAAUGAGGCACCAGAGGCACCUGCGCCCAGAGAAAUAUCCUUGGCCAGAUUUCAUGUGUUCGCUAGGCGAAGAAACCGUCGCUAGGCGAAGCCCACGCUUCCACCUUUGCUCCAGCGAGUUUAGAUGGUUUUGCUACUGGAGUUGCUCGCUGGGAGCUCGCUAGUGGCUCGCCUAGCGAGCAAGUGCUGGCUGUGCUUUUGACCAAGUCUGGGCGUGUUCGCUACCACCUUCGCUGGCUACUCGCCUAGCGAGUUUGCUGACUUUUGCUACUGUAAAAUUCUGGGGAUGUUCGCUGGAAGCUUGCUGGGUGCUCGUCUAGCAAGCGCUUCGCUACAGCACUCGCCUAGCGAGCAUGCUGAUGAAUGCCUCCUCUCUUGGUCCCUUUGCCAACUUUCUUGUGUCUUUGUUUUCUAUUCUUUCAUGUUUAGUUUCUGCAUAAUAACACACAAAUUAAAGGUACCAAGAUCAUUUAACAUUGUAUUGCAAAUCAUCAAAGGCAAAGGCGGUUUCGAAUACUUUAGCAACAAAAAGGAGUGAAAGAUGCCCACAUUUGAUAGCUCAAAUAAGCACUUUUGGGCAUUUAACACAUGUCAAGUUGUUUUUCUUCUGAAUUUACUGCAGGAUCUGAAGAUCAAGGUAAACAAGCCUCUGAAGCUGAUGAUUGAUAACAAGUCGACAAUCAACCUUGCCAAGAAUCUAGUGUUGCAUAAGAGAAGCAAGCCUAUUGAUACUAAGUAUAAUUUUCUAAGAAGACAUGUGUAGAAUGGAGUGCUAGAAGUUAUGCACUGUAGCACCCAGAAGUAACUGACAGAUGUUCUGACGAAAGUGAUCAAGACUGAUCAAUUUCUCCACUUAAGGGAUGUAAUAGGUGUUAUUAGUUUUGAUUAGUUAAAAAUCAUGAAUUAACGGAUGGUGUUUAAAUAUAAUUCAGUAAUUUAGUAUUUCGCCUAUGUGGAAUUAUGAUUUUUGUAUAUAUAAUAUUGUAGAUGUCAACAGUUGUAUCCACUAAGUAUUGUAGUGCAGUUUGUGCAACCAUUUGUUGUAACCGUUUUAUCUGAGUAGUGGAAGUUUGUUAUUCUCUCUUCUCUCUCUUCUUUCAUCUUCAUCUUCUUCAUCUCGUACACCAAAAACAACAUCGACAAAUUCAAAAAGGAUAAUGCGUGUUCGGUCCAUUUUCAUGGCAAUGAAUAUGUGUCAAUCAUGGUCAUCAAAUGCACCCCUAGCUAGAAGAGAAAAUUAUUUUAUAUACAUGUCAUGAUAAAUGUGUUUGGCAAACUUCACCAUUUGAAUUACCUUUUGAUAUUGAGAUCUAAGUCCAUUUACCUUGAUACGAUAUUCGAGUUAAAGACCGUAAUGUUAGAAUUUGACUCAGGAUCAUAUUAUGCAAGAAGGUGAGUGUAAAAUUGUAUUAGUGUUGUUAAAAUUGUUUGAAAAGUCUCAUAUUUUUUAAAUUUUCUAACUAUUAGAUGAAUAAAUAUAUUUAGACAACUUCGUUCUUUAAUUAACUUUACAGAUGAGAUCAAAAAUCAUUUAAUUUUGAGUUAGGUAAUAUUGAGAUACAAAUGUGAAAUAAAAAUCUUACAUUAAUUUAAAAAAUAAAAAUUAAAUAUUUUAUAAAUAAAAUGACUCAUCCAAUACCUUAAAAUUUUGGAUAAAUAUUAAAAUUUAUAUUACAAUAAGCUCAUCUCUCUUUUUCUUGAUAAACUUUCUCAAAUAAAUAACAAUUUAACAAAACUAAGUAUAGCUAAAAUUAGGUGACCUCUUAGAUGUUUGAAACACUCUUUUUAUUUCUCCAUAGUAACUAUGACAAUUAAACAAUCCCAUGUAGUCUACGUAGUAUUACAGUCACUAGGUAUCUUCAAAAAAGUAAUAUAGUAAAGACUUGAAAUGUUGACAUCAAAAGGAACUCUGAAUACAGCUGGAUUAUCCAAACUUUUUCCUUUUCUUUUUGUUGGUCCAAUAAUGUAGCCUAAAGUAUGUGCACUGAUGAGGUGGUGAUGAGGAAAUUUGAAAACAGAGAAAGAAAAGUUAUUCAUGUCAUCAUAGAAUUUCUUCAAAGACUAAAAAUUAAUUUUGUAAAUACAUAGUAAAAUAUCAUUUAUAAAGUUUUGAAUAAUUGCAGUUAUAGCCCAAAUUAUCAUAAUUUUAUAAAAGAAAAUGUUUUAUGAACUCAUGCGACUAUUAAUUAAUCAUGUGCAAAAAUAUUGUUAAAUCAACUGAGGGAUGAUUACUUCACUUCACCCUUAAAAUUGGGUUAAUUUAAUUUUAUGAAUUAACUAUAUUUUAACAUGAAUUGAAUUAAUUAUAUACAAUACUAUUGUCAAUCCAAUUGAGCGUUACUUAAAUUCAUACUUACUAGUUAAUUAUAUAUUUUUUAUUUGUAAUAAGGAUACAUAAAGAAUGUAUAUUUAUUUGGAUUGUAGUUUAAACGUGUGUUUGCCUUAGCUCUUUUGGAGUUUAAAAGCUAUCUUAAAGCUGAAGCUAAAAAUGAUAGCUUUAAAAAUAUAAUUAAAGUCAUUUCUUAAUUAUUAAUUUUUUAAAAAACUGAAAGUGAAAACCUAUUUGUUAAAAUAUAUUAUAAAUUAUACAUUUUAUUACAAAGGUUAGUAUAUCUUAAAAGAUUAUAACAUUUAUAUAAAAAAAUACACACACAUCAAAAUCACUUAUUAAUGCAAUAUUUUUUUUCUGAAUUUUAAAUAUUCAUACAAAAGUUAUUUUUUCUUUAUAAAAAAGUUACUUAAUGCAAGAGUUUUUUUUUUAAUUUGUCCUAUGUUAAGGAAAUACAAAGCUUUUAAAAAUUGGUCAAACAAGCUUUAAACAUAUCAUUCAAUGCCUGUGUUCCAUUUCUAGUUUUGGUUGGAACAAUGGGAAAAUGAAAAUAUACUAAUUAAAAGUGAAAUGAUUCUUUGAAAAAAAGAAGUUGUCUAAUAAUCCCUAGACUCUAAGGUUUAGCAAGCCAUUAAAUGAUUUUUUUUAAAAUAAUCAAUUUUAAAAAAAAAUCGAAAAUAAUCAAUAAUUCAAAAAAAUAUAUUAAAAUAAUCAAUUUUACAAGAGGAUGUGUCAGAUGAAUUGACGCAUCCCCUAACUAUGAAGAGGAGGCGCCAAUGCUAUUGACGCAUGCAUUGACCCUCACGAGGAGGCGCCAAUGCUCCUGGUGCCUUAGUGUAAUUUGUAGUGUGGGCGCCAAUCCCUAUGGCGUCUGCAUGUGAUGCUCCACACUACAAAUUGCACUAAGGCGUCAGGAGCAUUGGCGUCUCCUCAUGAGGGUCAAUGCAUGCGCCAAUAACAUUGACGUCUCCUCAUGAGGGGCAAUGCAUGCGCCAAUAACAUUGGCGCCUCCUCAUGAAGAGUCCAAUGCAUGCGUCAAUGCUAUUGGCGCCUCCUCUUCAUGCUUAGGGGGAUGCGUCAAUUCAUUUGACGCAUCCUCUUGUAAAACUGGUUAUUUUGGUUUUUUUUUUGAAUUAUUGAUUAUUUUUAAUUAUUUUUUUGAAAAACUGGUUAUUUUAAAAAAAAAAUCCCAUUAAAUUGAUACAGAAAAAUAGAGUUGGAAAUGAGUCGAGUCGAGUCGAAUUAACCUCAUUUUAUCUCAAUUCAAUAAAAACUAGUUCAGAUUAAAAUUUGAUUCGUGUUCGACAAGAAUUUUUUAAGUUCAAACUCAACUUAUUUAAAAUUUAUGAACAAUUCGGUUUAACUCAUUAGAUUCAAUUCGUUAGAUUCAAUUCAUUUAUUUCACGAAUUUAAAAGUCAUUUUUUAAAAUCUAAUUUUUUCUACAAGCCAAAUAUAUAUAAAUUGAAAAAAAAGUUACAAAAUACCAUAUGACGUACACCAAAUCCAGUCAAACCAGGAUGAUAAACCAAGAUAUCAUCCCAGAAGGAUAUACAAAUAGAUUGAAUACCAUAAAAGUGAUUUUUUUUUAAAUAACUAAAGUAAGAACUCACACACGACAAGCACUAUUCGGCAAAUCCAUUUACGGGCACAAAACUAAAUAGCAAAAAAGUGUCAACAACAAUCUCUAGAAACAACAAUCUCUAGAAACUUGCAAGUGUGAACAUUUAUUCUUCAGCAUGAUGUAUGAACUAACGGCAAACACGGAUUGAUUCACGAAACAACAAUCUCUAGAAAAAAAAACCCAACAAAUUAAAUUAUAGAUAAUUCAAAUUCAGUUUAUUUAAUUAACAAAAUUGCUCAUAUUCAAUUAGUUUAAUUUAUAAAUCUAAUUUAAUGAUUUAGUUAUCAAAUCAAAUUUUAACAUAUAUUCGUUUUAUUGAAAACGAAAAAAAAUGAAAAAAAUAAUAAAAUGACAUUAAAUUUGUUACACUUUAUGAAAAAUGUUGUCUAAAUAAUUCAAAGUAAAAGUAACAAGUGGCUCAGUCAACAUUAAAAAAACAAAGUAACAAGUGGAUGUCUAUUUUCACAUGAUAAGGGGAAGCCAUUUUAAAAUAUUAAAGUUAACAUUUUUCUUUUUGUGUCUAUUCCCUUGUUGACUUCUUUUUAUAAAACAAAUUCUAAUAUCAAAAUAAUUAAGAUAUAGAAGGAAAAUAUUUUCUGUCUUCUUAAUUUAAAAUUCAAUUUAAUUUCAGAUUUGCUACUUUUUUUUUUCUCGCAUUGUUAACGGAAAUUAUACAAAUAGAUUAAGUACAAUAACAAUAACAAAAACUAAUUAUAAUGAAUUAAUUAAGAUUGAUAAUCAGCUAUUUUAAUUAAUGAAUUUUCAACAAUUGUUAUAAUAAUAAUAUAUCAUAAUAAUUCAAGCAUGAAUAAAUUGUUAUCGAUAAAAGUUGUAUGUUGUUAAUAAUAAAAGUUGUAUGUUGUAUGUUGUUGAUGAUUUUGUUGUUAUUGAUAGAAAUUGUUUGUUGUAUAUUGUAUGUUGUUUUAGGUUUGUUGUUGAUGUAUUUUAUUGUUAAGUCAACCGUUGUUCUAAAUAGGGCACAUACAACCACAAGUUAUUUUACCACGAACCAACAUUCAUAAUAGAAUAUUUCUAUCAAUCCUUAUUAUACGUGUAUUCCUUGGUAGUGAUAGUUAGAAUUCAAAGAAGUUGAUGUGGAAUGGAGUCAAAGAUGUCUCUAAGAUAUCUUGGGUUAAGUGUUUUGAUAUUUGUAAAUCUAAGCGGAAAGGCUAGGUGUUCAUGAUCUACUCUUGGAAAACUUAGUUAUGUUGGAUAAGUGACAAUGGAGGUUAAUAUCAUAUGUGACUUGUCUUUGGUGAUAUAUAUAUAUAAAUAUAUAUGGAUCGUGUUGUUUCCUCCUUCAAGGGAGGUAGCAUUUAUAGUUUGUGUUAUACUUCUACCUUGUAAAAAGGCUGGGGAAUAGCUUGCAAAAUAAAAUGGGGUAUGACCUUCUCGCCUCAUUUGGGGAUGACCCUUUCAUGGGGGAAAAUCUCCAUAGCGAUAGAUUUCCCAUGUUAUAUAUUAUAUCUAGUUGUAAGGGAGAAAGGCUAGCGUGGAAGGAUGAGGCAUUGGUUUUGGACUUGUGGUGGAGGAUAUCACUUUUAUUUGGGAACAAAAUCUUUGUUUCUUUGGGUUAUUUUUAAUGUUUAUUGGCUUUUUUGUGUGUUUAGGCUCAUUAACAAUUAUCUCUUUUUGAUUUUAUUAAAGGGUGAUAAAAAAUUUAAUUUGAGUCUAGAUUUUAAUUAAUGUGUUUAAUGUUAUUUGUGCUAUUGUGUAAUGUUUCAUUUAGGGAGAACACAGUAAAAAGGAGAAAACACUUAUCGCGCUUUGCUUCUGCUAAACGUUGAUUCAAUUCCAAUUGCAAACUUUGCAAGUUGUCAAAUAUUAAAAAGGGGGAGAUUGAAGUUGCUCUGCCUCCUAGGGUUUUCCCUAGUUUAUGUUUUGUUGCUUGUCAAAUUAGUAUUUUUUUUUGUAAUUGAGUUUUCUCGCAUAGUUGUGCAUUCUAGAAUUAAGUGCUAAACCAUUUUUACGCAUGCAUAAAUCAAAAUAUUUGCUUAAAGUCGACACAAUAUAGUUCUAAUUAGUUAGUUAGAGGUUUGGAUCAAGAAACACACGAAUGCAUGAUCAAAAUCUUCCAAGUCUAGAUUCAAAUGAGCACUUUAUUUUUAUUAAAAUUUUAACUUUUUGCAUCGUGAUUUGUAUUACAUAAUUGAUUGUCUUAAAUCAAAAAUUGAAUGCAAAAAUUAGAUUUCAAUUAUGUAUUUCUGAUUCGAAACAUGAAACAGCCCGACUCGAAUAAAAAAUGGAAGCUAAAAAACAUUUUUUUCUUAUGUCUUUCUGAUUCGAAUCAUAUAAAAACUUGACUCGAAUCAUGGAGGUCUUGAUUCGAAUCAUUGAAUAACAUGACAAGAAUACAAAUUUUACAUACAAUUUUUCAAUUUCGGUUCCGUAUUUCUAUCUCGAAUCAUGGGUUUUCUUGAUUCAAAUCACAGACUCAAAUCAAAUAUGAUGUAAUUUGGGUUUUUAGUUCUUAAUUUAAAUUAUUCACUCUCUCGGCUCGAACCAUACCAUUUUCUCUUAACUCGAAUCAAAUGCAUAUUUUUUCUCAUUUUUUAUGCAUUAUCUCCAUCACAUGUAUAACUAAUAUUUCAUUCUUUUCACAAAAUAUGAUUUUGAGAAUCAUAACACACAACACAUUUUUUUCUCUCACACAUUAAAAAUUUAUUUUAAGUUUUUGUUUUUGAGAUUGCAAUUUGAAAUUCACUUCAUCUUCAACCUCUACCUUCUACCAUUGUCAUUUUGGUUUAGCUUCUUAAUCUUGGGUGUGAGAUUUGUCCGAGAAGGUUCGUUUGGGUUUAAUGUUAUGUGAAGUUUUGAAGAUUUUAGGUUGCCAGUUAUCGUGUGGUUGUGGCUAGAGAAUGAAAAUCAAGUAGUGAAAAAGAAUGAGUUUAUUUUAUCCAAGAUUGCUUUGAUAGAACUGUGUGGAAGUUGCUACAGAUGAAGUCGAAGUUUCAAUUGUUCAGACAAAUCAAUGCUUAUACGAGGAACCAACAUGGAAUAACAUAAGUUAUUUUGGAACGCUUGGAGAAAAAUUAUUGAAUCUGGAAGGUGUAAUUCAAGAUCGAGUGAAGAUCUUGCAGAGAUCGGUUUCAUACAUUGUAUACAUUCAAAGAGAAGAUUCAACCAUAUAUUUUUAAUUUUCCACACCAUAUUGAAUCUUGUGAUUAUAUUAAAGACUUUGUAAAACAAUUGUUAAAUCAUAGUGGAAAACUAUGAAUUUUCAAUGUUUUUUCAUUGGAUAUUGGAUUAGGAACAAAGAAAGGAUGAACAUUCUAAACCAGUAUAAAUCACGUGUACACUCUAUCUUUUCCAUGUCUCUUUUAUUUUUCGCAUUAGAACCAUAUGCUUAGAAUUUAUCAUUUUCUUAAAAACUUCAAGUUGUUAGGUUUUAUCGCCUCAUAGUGAUUUCUUGUAUAAAAUUAGGUAUGUGUUAGAUCAAGAUUUUGAACGAUCUUACUUGUGAUUAAAACUAGAAUUUGUAUUUAGAAAUUUCUUAUCAAUUGAAUAAAUUUGAUUUAUACAUCUUGUGUAAAAAAAAUUAGAUUAAUUAAAGCGAUGAUUGCUUUAGCUUCUUCACCUUUUAUUUAUUUUACUUCUAAGUAUAAGUAUAUACGACAUAAUCAAUUUCAAUUGCAUCUAUUAUACAAAAUUAUGCUACGCUGAAUGAUUUUAUAAAACUCUAGUUUUGAAAAGCAAACAUUUUUUAAAUUGGUCUUUUUGUGAACGAUCUAUUCAACCCGUUUCUAGAGCAUUUGAGUUCAUAUUCUCCCUAACAACAUGCCCCUGGAUAGAUAAUACAACGCAAAUAGAAAUUUCAGUUUUAUCAUCUCCAUAGGGCUUGAUUGUGUUUAAAAGAUUGUUUAAUAGUUUCUAUUACUUUAAUUUUAGUUUAUCAAAAUAUUGAAUUUUUGGUGAAUACUUGAAAAAUUAAUUAACAAAAAAAUAAACUUUCGGUGUUUCAAUAGUGAGGAAACUUUGUUAGGGUUAGAAUUCAUUGAUUUGUUCUUGUGUAGCAUCCUUGACCAAUAAUAUACAAUUCUAAUAAGUUAUUAAUAUUACCAUCUGAGGCUUUCAUUGUAGCUCAUGUUUGAAUCAACGACUUGAGAUUCAUCGUAUUACAUGAUAGACGAUCUCUCAGCCUAUUAACCAAUACAUCAGCAUAUCAAGUUUCAAUAGUAAAUACAAAUAUCAAUGUCCACUUUCACCAAUAUCUUUAUUCAUGCGAAUAUUAAACUUAUAUUUGUGUAUAGACUUUAGUAUCAAAUAGAUAACACACUUGGAUCUAGUAAUGACCAGUACCUUUCGAAUAUCAAGGCAUACACUAAAAACAUGUUUUAGGUAGCUAAUCCAAAACAAACAUCAUGAAUGAAGAAUCCAUCAAUAUUAAAACUUAAGAAGAAUUAAUGCUAUGGUCGGGAUACAAACAUAAGUAACAGAACAACUACAUAGAACCUUAACCAAAGGAAAAAUUAGCUACGCUUAUUCACCAUAUCUUUACAAUCAAGCCCCAUAGAAAAGAAGUUGAAAAGAAUUUGUUGAAUAAUCCUCAACAGUGUUUUCGCCCUUGAUCUUCUUCUCUUAUUUUCUUCUAUAGUGAUUUGUGGCGAGAACUUAGUCUCACUGACGAACCAUCUUAAAUUACACUGAAUGAUAUCUCCAAAUGAAGGUAUGACACCCCUAUUUAUAGGAUUGGGAAAGGUAGGCUCCUUAAGCGCACCACCUAGGCUUGUUUAGUGCACCUACUUUCUUCUAUGUUAAAUAAUAUCAGUUAUGUUAUGCCUAGUGUUGCUGCCUAUGCUUGCUAAGCGAACUGCACAUGAUCUCUUAGCCACCAAACCCUUCAUUCACCUUAAAGUAACUUAAACCUAAAUUCUUAGAAUCUCCUUUUUCUCAUUAAGAGCGCUUAUGUUUCUUAGAUUAGAAAGGAUGUAUCUUUGCUUGCUAAGAGCACAUGUACUAUUAGUUUAGUUAGUCUUGAUUUGUUAGGAAAGUCCUUGGCUUGGUCUCUUGUUCUAUUUUUGUGAUUUUUUUUUUAAUUUUCCCUAAUUUUAAUUAAUGUAAAGUUCAAAUGCUCAAACAGAAAUUUUAUUAAUUUUAAAAGAUAAAUCAGAGUUUUUCAUAUGAUUUCUUGUAAAAUAGUUAAUAAGUAACUACAUAUUUAACAUAUUUUUUUCACUUAUCAACUCUCACCAACUUAUCUUUUUGUUUGUCCUCAAACAAAAUUCAUUUCAAAUGGUUCAAAAGAAAUUCAAAAUGCAUGUUUUAGUUGAAAUUAAACGACUUGAUGAGGAAUUUUUGAAAAAGUUUGGUUUUGCGACAUAAUUCUUUUUAUAAUGAAAGUUAUAAUCAACAUUAUAAUUAUCAUCAAAUCAUAACAGGAAUAUGAAAACUUGUUUUUCCAAAGUAGGAUAUCAAAACAUGUUUAGAUCAACAAUCAAUUUAUCAUCAGAAUCAUAAUCUCACUGAUUUAUCUCUCAAAAGGUUUAAUGUUUCCCUCUUUGUUGGAUAAUGCAUAAAUUAUAGAAAUACUUUACAUUUCAUAUAAACCAUAUCAUAAGAUAAUCAGUAUUCAUGGAUCACUAAGCUCUUUCUUUUGAUUGUAACAUGGUUGGAAUACAAAAAAUAUUGGUUUUUCUUUGAUUCAAAAGCCUAAAUAAAAGAGACCAAAAUCCUUUCUUUAGGUAUAUCACUUUGUUUUCUGAUAUUGUCUCUUUUCUUUUCUUCCCGUUUUACACACUUUCUUUUAAUGAAUUUCUUUUAUAUGCUUUGACAUUUUAUUCUUUCUUUUUCUUUUUUCUUUUUGUUUUGUCAAAGCAUAUGAUUUCUUUCUUUUCACCAUUUAGUACUUGAUUUUUCAAAAUCUUUUCCUUUUUCUCUCCAACUUUAUUAUUUUUAACACCCUUGCAUUUUUUAUUGCUCUCCUAUACUUAAGACAAGGUGGUGAAAAUUUAUUUUUCUUUUAGAUUUGGCUAAGGUUUGUACCGUUGAAAGAACAAAAUUUUUAUUUUUACAACGUAGGUUGUCAAGAGAUCACACUCUCACAAGGUAGGUUUUUGGGUAAAGUAGUUUUUUACUCAAUAAAAAAAAUCAUUGAUUAUAUCCAUGACUUCAAAUAUACCAAGUAAUAGAAAAAAUGAUGCAAAAUUCACAUACUUAGUAUGCAAAUCCCCUCUCAUUAUUUGUGUAAAACUUGAGAUUGCACAUAUCUCGCUUAGUUAGGCUUGUAUGAUUCUUAACUUUUAUUGACAUGCUUUCACUAGAGAAUAGUAAAAUUAAACUUUUUAAAAGCAAUUAGUUCAUGGUCAUGCUAUAAUUCAUAGAUAACCCAAUAUCGAAUAUAAAUGACGAAUUUACAAAAUAACCAUUUUAUCAUGCCAUUGUUCUUGACUUUUAUCGUCAACUUAGUCUUUGUGUUUCAUAUGCAUUUGAUUUUCAGGUCAGUUGAACCAUCUGCAGAUAAAUUGUUUUUCAAAUAUAAGUUUUUGAAUAUUUUUUCAAACAAGCACUUAAUCAUGAAAACAAUUUAAAUAUCAAAUAUAUUGUGUAUGCUUCAACUUUGAUCAUCCUUACAUUCCACCCCUGCAGAAAUUUGACAUGUCCUCAGGUGAUUAGAAUAAGGAUUGUGUUAUAGAGAAUCUUGUUUAGCGAUAGAGAUUCCGUUUAGCCACUAAUGUGCAUCAGGCUUCACUAAGAAAUCAAUAGGGACUACUUAGCCACCAGUGAGUGUCAAUGUGUUGAAAAACCACAACGAUCCAUCUUAUAUGAAAGUGUUCAAAUGCAAACUUAACGUAAUGAAAAUAGUUAUAAUGAAAGUAGUUGCAUGAAGUACAACAUUAUUAUUUGGGAUGAAUUGUAAGAGUGGAAAAAUAUUUUAAGAUUGGUUCUCUGACAUAAUCUUUUCUCUUAUAAUUGUUAAAACUAUUUUCUUCAAUGCAUGUUUGUUGCAGUGCGGUGAAAGUAUCCCUUUAGAUCCACCCUAAUUAAAUGAGAAAAAUAUAUAUUUUAGAUGUAAUAAAAAAUUUAAUCACCUUUGAUUUUCAUUUUGCUUUCAAAAAUUUAAAAGCAUCCUAAUUUGGUUGUGUUUUUGCUAUAUUACAACAUUAGGUACCAAAUAGUGUGAAUGAGAGGAAGAAGCAUAUGGCAUGAAACUUCUUAUUACAUCAGUAUACCAACCCUAAUUGUAGAAUUAAAUAAAUGAAGGGCUCCACCUUUGCGACUUUUCUUAUCUUGUAUCCGACUUUCGUCUAUAGUUGUAAAUGAUAAUGAAAAUAAUAAAAACAAUGUAAUAAUGACAAUACUAUGUAAAUUAUGUUUUCUCUUUGUGUUAACUAACUUUAGGGAUUAGUUAGAGGUAGUUGAGAGGAGUUAAUUAGGAUCUAACUACUUGUCUUAGCUAUAUAUAGUAGUCCUCUCUAUUGUAAUAAUUGAGAUUGAGAAUUACAUUUCAUUUUUGAUCACAUACAACUUCUCUUCAAGCUUUUCCUUUCUUUUGGUUAUGGAGUUUCAGCUCAUUGUUGUAAGUUCACAUGGUAUCAGAGCCUCGUCUAAGAUCCGAUGGGCCACCUACUAUGGUUUCCGCUAUCGGGCCACCCACCAUUUAUUUCCGCACUUCAGAUGUCUAGUCCUGGGCGUGAGGGGGUGUGUUAAGAGUCCCACAUCGGACAAUAUAUGGCCUGAACAUGACUUUAUAAGUGGGGACAACCCUCACUCUACCAACCGGUUUUGUAGGGAUGAGUUAGAUCCAAUCACACAUUCUUAACAUGGUAUCACAAGCCUGUGAUUCUACUUUCCGCUGCGAUCUUUCUCAAUCUUCUUCUUUCGAUCCAACUUUUCUGCAGUCUCUGCAACAUUGUUAUUCUUCUUCUUCUUUCGAUCCAAUUUUUCUGCAGCCUCUGCAACUUUGUUGUUUCUCAAACCCCGAGUAGUUUAUACGAGAAGUCAGCACCAUCUUAAUAGCAAACUACGUGGAGAGCCGAUGAAUAUAAGUGAAUGAUUCCCAAAGUAACAUAAAAAAUAUAUAUAUAUAUAUAUAUAUCAGGAAAUGCACUAAGUAAGUUAGGUGAUCCUUACCAGAUCAUUUAAUCUAAAGGUUGCAGAUCAUACAAAAAGCAUAAUAUGAAAGAUCCAUUAUGAGUUGGUUCAGCAGGUAUCUGGUGCUGAACUUGGUAGGGCAGACUACGGUCCGAUCCCCCGCAAUUCGCAAUGGACUGAAUGACGAAGUUAUCCGACUUAUGUACCAGAACUUCUAGCUAAAAGGGGAUCAGAAUCACUAACCGGUUACUCCACUAUGUGCGCGAAAAGAUAAAGGGCUUAAUAUGAUUUCGCUAGAACGAAAACGGGUAAAAUAAGAGUAAAGGAACUAGGAUAGCUAUAAUAGCGUGGCUUGAACUGGUUUGCAUAAGGUGGGGUUGUCUGAGAUUGUGAUGAUGGUUGUUAAUGUCGAGAUUUAACUCAAGUUACUUCUAAACAAGGCUUACCUGCAACCUAGUACGAAUUGAUGUGUGUUUUGAAAUUUCAUCUGGCCAAAUUCUUAAAACUAGUUCUAUACUGUAUUUUGUUUGAGGACAAGCAAAGAUUUAAGUAUGGGGGAGUUUGAUAACGUGAAAUUAUAUCACAUUCUAGGACUUAAUUUAAUUAAAUUAUAUUAUUAUUUGCUUCAAUUUAUUUCAUUUUACUCGAUAUUACUCGGUAUUUCCUUUCUAUUUAUCUCAGGUAGUUUAUUUGAAGCACAAGUAGAAAAAGGAAGAAAAAGAGGUGCAAAAAGGAAUUAAACGAAGCAAAUAUCAAAAAGCCAAAGCCCAGCCCAAAAAGCACAGGCGUUGUGCCUGUGACGAGCGUCACGCUUUACAUACUUGUGUGACGAGCGUCACACAUGGUGUGACGGACGUCACACCAUUCCUCCUAUAUUUUUGGCACCAGGAAUGCAACGGACCACGUUGAAGCUACUUUCAUGCUUGACCCUUUUGGAACGUAAUGGCUACAUUUACGGAAAACCCUUGGAAGCAGUUGCAAUAAGUAGCAGUAUAAAUAGUAGCUUUUUGGAAAACUCUCGGUUCCAGACUCCUUCGUCGUUUUUCUCUUUUUCGCAUUUUUCUUCUUCCAACAGCUUAGGCAUAUUUUUUACAGUACUACUUUUACAAUUUUUCUAUUGUUUCUUUUGCAAUUCUAUUUUCUUUUCUAGCACUUAAUUAAUUUUUCGCAGAGUAGUUUCUACACCGGAAACUAUUGUGUACCUUUCACCGGAUCUAACCUUACGUUAGAAUCUAGUUUUUUUAUUCCUUCGCUUUUAUUUUUCUGUCUGAUUGAAGAAUUCAAGAACAAAUCCAACCGGUCUGUGGUGGAGUGUUCAAGACUGCUAUUUAAUUAUUCAGGUUCUUUAAUUAUUUGUUGAAUUUAUAUAUGCUUUGUUUUGUUAUUAAUUUAUACUGUUUGCCUGCGAUGAAUUUGUUUAUGCAUGCUGAUUAUUUAGAUCGGUUUAGUAUGUCUGGCUAAUUUAUUUAGGUAUCGGUAUGUAAAGUAGGCGAAAUGAAGGAAUCAAAACUAAAUUGGUUUAAUUAAGUUUAGAAUUAAAAUCACUCUUUUUACGGUCUCAAUUUACAGGGUUAAUAACAAAGUUUUUGUACGAAAGUAAAAGGCAUAAAGAAGUUAAAAGCAAUAGAGCGAGAGUUUGAGUUUUUAACGGGACAGUGUUAAUUCGACAUUAAUUCUAGAUCAGGGCGAGAGCAAUUUUUAGAGUUAAUUAAAUUCUAAUCUUUUUCAAAAAGUAUUUUUAAAGGUUGAAUGUGAGGACGAGAGUUAAGCAUUUGAAUUUAAUUAUAUAAUUUAAGUCAACAGAGCGAGAGUUUGAGAUUAGGGUGUUUAAACGAUUAGUGUUUUCUUAAAAAGAGUUUCUACGGACCCUAUUGUUUUCAAAAAGUGGUUUUUGACUUAACUAAUGAGUGACAGCCACGUUAAUAUAAAACCAUAGUUUAUUCAACAGAGCGAGAGUUUGAGAUAAGACUUUUAAACAAUAGCGUCAACUGAAAGGAUUUAUUUUAAAACCAAGAAACCAACGAAGGAUUGAUUCCCUAAUUACGACGAACUGCAUACCGAUAUCCGUUUAUUUGAUAUUUAAUUUAGAUCUUAUUUUAGUUUUAGCUUUACAGAUAAUGGAAAUGAGUUUUUGAUGCCUGAUUUUUACAAUCAAUUAGGUAUCAUUCACCAAACAUCUUGUGUGGCUACACCUCAACAAAAUGGUAUUGUUGAAAGAAAACAUCAACAUAUCUUGGGUAUCACUAGAGCUCUUUUAUUUCAAGCUCAUUUGCCUCCAUUAUUUUGGGCUCAUGCAGUGAGUCAUGUUGUUCAUAUCAUAAAUAGACUUCCCACACUUUUCUUAAAACACAAGUCACCCUACCAAAUUAUGUACAACAUUUUACCUGACAUCACCAACCUGAAAGUUUUUGGUUCUUUGUGCUAUGCAGCCACUCUAAAAUCCAAUAGAAAGAAAUUAGAUUCAAGAUCUAGAAAGUGCAUUAACCUAGGUUAUAAACCUGGUGUGAAAGGACAUCUUUUGUUUGAUCUGCAUAAUAAGGAACUGUCUAUUUCUAGAGAUGUUGCUUUCUUUGAAUCUCAUUUUCCAUAUAAACAUAAUCUUCCUCUGCCUUCAUCCUCUUCACUGUGAUGAUGUGUGGACCUACUAAACAAACUACUAUACAAAGACGGAUUUUCAGUUCCCAAUCCUACAUUUAAUCAUUCAGUUGACAAUGGUCAUACUGAGCAUAAUUCAGUUGACAAUGGUCAUAGUGAGAAUAAUUCUCAUUCUAUAGAUUUCAAUACCAAUGAAACCAAUCAUCUUCCUUCUAUUAACUGUGAGCCCAUACCUGUAAGAAGAUCACAUAGACAAGUUCGUCCCCCUAACUAUCUAAAAUAUUAUCAUUGUAAUCUGCUUCACCAUCCUGACUCAGUUGUGGCCUCAUCUUCAUCCACCUGUAAAUAUCCUAUUUCAUCUUCUAUAUCCUAUGAUUCCUUUUCAUCUUCUCAUAAACAUUACAUGUUAAACUUGUCUGCCAACCCUGAACCUACAUCACAUGAGCAUGCUAUUUGUGAUGAGAAUUGGGGAACUGCUAUCAAUACUGAAUUGCAGGCUCUGGUUAAAACUAAAACAUGGGAUCUUGUGCCCUUACCUUCAAACAAGAAAGCCAUUGGCUGCAGGUGGAUUUUUAAAGUAAAAAUGCAUGCUGAUGGUACUAUUGAGAGGUACAAGGCACGACUUGUUGCAAAGGGGUUCACUCAAACUGAAGGAUUAAAUUAUACUGACACUUUCAGUCCAGUUGUUAAAAUGACCACUGUUAGAGUUUGCUUAGCUAUUGCUGCUGUUCACAAUUGGCCUUUGUUCCAACUUGAUGUUAACACAACUUUCCUCCAUGGUGAUCUUAAUAAGGAAGUUUACAUGAAGCCUCCACCUGGUCUCAUUUUGUCUACUCCAAAUCUUGUUUGCAAAUUACAAAGAUCUCUUUAUGGUCUGAAGCAGGCUAGCAGACAAUGGAAUACAAAACUCACUGACACCCUUAUUGCAUCAGGUUAUAUCCAAUCCAAAGCAGAUUAUUCCCUUUUCACUAAGACUUCUUCUCAAGGUUUCACUAUGAUUCUGGUUUAUGUUGAUGAUUUAGUAGUUGGAGGCACUGAUUUUCAUGAAAUUUUUCAAUUCAAAACUUGUUUGGAUGCUAAAUUCAGUAUCAAAGACUUGGGGGUUCUCAAAUACUUCCUAGGCUUUGAAGUGGCUCGUAGCACUCAUGGUAUUUCUUUAUGUCAAAGAAAAUACACUCUUGAUUUGAUUUCUGAUGCUGGUCUUCUUGGUGCCAAACCUUGUUCCACCCCUAUGCAACCUCAUCUUCAACUCCACAAAACAUAUGGCACACCUCUCUCUGAUCCUACUCCCUACAGAAGGCUUAUCGGUCGUUUAUUGUAUCUCACACAUACCAGACCUGAAAUUUCCUAUGCUGUCAGCAAACUAAGCCAAUUUCUUGCUGCUCCAACAGAUAAACAUAUGUUAGCUGGUCUACAUGUUUUGAAGUACCUCAAAAACAGUCCAGGCCAAGGACUCAUUUUUCAAUCUAAUACCUCUUUAUGUCUCAAAGGUUUUUCAGAUUCAGAUUGGGGGGCUUGCCCUGAUACACGAAGAUCCACUUCUGGUUUUUGUUAUUUUCUUGGCACUUCACUCAUUAGCUGGAAGAGCAAGAAGCAGCCUGUCAUUUCCAGAUCUUCAUCUAAAGCUGAGUAUCGUGCUCUUGCUCAAGCUACUUGUGAAGGGGUUUGGCUUCUCAAUAUUCUUCAUGAUUUUCACAUCAAUCAUUCAGUACCUAUCAUCCUUUACUGUGAUAACAAAUCUGCCAUGCAUAUAGCUGUCAAUCCUGUGUUUCAUGAGCGCACAAAACACAUAGAGAUCGAUUGUCAUGUUGUACGUGAGAAAGUUCUAGCUGGAGUUGUUCAUCUCAUGCCUGUCACUUCUAAGGAGCAGGUUGCGGAUAUUUUUACCAAGUCUCUUCAACCUGGUCCUUUCAAUACUUUGCAAUCCAAGCUUGGAAUGAUUGAUAUUCAUUCCAGCUUGAGGGGGGCUGUAAAUGAUAAUGAAAAUAAUAAACAAUGUAAUAAUGACAAUACUAUGUAAAUUCUGUUUUCUCUUUGUGCUAACUAACUUUAGGGAUUAGUUGGAGGUAGUUGAGAGGAGUUAGUUAGGAUCUAACUACUUGUCUUAGCUAUAUAUAGUAGUCCUCUCUAUUGUAACAAUUGAGAUUGAGAAUUACAUUUCAUUUUUGAUCACAUACAACUUCUCUUCAAGCUUUUCCUUUCUUUUGGUUAUGGAGUUUCAGCUCAUUGUUGUAUGUUCACAGAAGGAGAAGGUUCUACUUUUAUAUUGUUCCUUGAAGUGAAGGUUCAUUUGUGCAUUAGUAAAUGUAGCGUUAUUUACUAAAUUAGGCUUAUUUAUUGGGCCUGUCUUAAUGGACAUUUGACAAUUUCAGAACACUUGUUCAAGUCCUUGUGAUUAAUUUUGAAGCGAUGAAUGUUGAAGUAGGAAUUAAUGAGACCUAUAUAAGAAUAUGUGUAUUUUAGAGAUAUUUGUCCUUUGAGAAGUUUCCCCUAAAAGUUAGAGCUCUGUAAGGGUGUUGGGUGGAGGUAGUUGACAUUGUGAACACACACUUUAAAUGCUACAUGUACGGAUAGAACGUUGCUACGACAGGGGCCUACACGUGCACCCAGACAUGUAGGGUAUGGAAGUCAUGCAUGUAUGUGUACUUGAGUUCUUUCAAGAGCAGUUAUGGAAUCCAUAUUUCAUAUAAUCCAUGGAAUACGAUCUUUGAUCUUUUGUCCAAUCACUGUCGUUGAACUAGGUGCUCUUUGUGCCUAUAAAAGGGGAACUUGAACUUCAUUUCUAUAUUUUUUCUACAUUUUUACCUCUUGUGUGGCAUCAAAGAAAGUUUGCUUGUGACUCGAACUUCUUACUUAGAUUUUAAAUUUUUUGAAUAACCCCAUUGGAGUUUCUCUUGUAUUCUUCACUCAAGUUAUCAACCACUUGCAUUACUUAAAAGGUAUUUUCUUAUUCUUCCUUUUUUUCAUCUCUUCAUAUUUCAAUCUUUUUCGAGUAUGGAACAUCUAGGGAAUCUAAAUUUAGAUAUCCUCAUUAAAGACCUAAGUGGUGGUGAUUCUAUAACCAAAUCAGAGGUAGUUAAUCCUAGAGAUAGUUAGCUUAACCUCGCUAGGAUAUAAACGAGGCAAGUUGGUGUUGGGUUUAGUUUUAGUAAAAUUCUGGUGAUUGGUCACAUCCCUAUAACGAACCUUGUGGAUGAUAUGUUGUUAGGAGUUUAGAGAGUAUGUUCAAGUGUGAGGUUUCCUAAGCAGAGUUGAGGUGGUGGUUAGAUGAGUGAUUGAAAUGUUCAAGUGUGUUAUGGAGAAGAAGGCACGCCAUUAACGCUUGAAACUGUCUAAAGAUGAUAUUGAGUAUCCUUGGGUAGAUGAUGAAAUUCAGGUGAAUUUUUUCUUCUACAUCAGUAAAAGUAGUUUGGAGUUCACUCGCUGGGAUGUGAAAUUAUCAUUGGACUGAUAGGUUAUGUUCCCCGAGAAUCGAGUAACAAUAAUUUUUGUCGGUGUGAGAUUUAUAUACUUCUUCUAUAUGCGUGUUUUUUAAUGAUUUUGAAGUUGGAGUUAUGUUAACUUCAUAUAUAUUUAAAAUGACUUCCACUUAUUAUGUAAAAGAGACUUCCAUUUGUUUUUUUUUGUUUGACUCAGUCACUUGUUUACUUUUAGCUUUGAAAUAUUUAGACAAUUUUUUUCAUAAAAAGUAACAAAAUUAGUGUCAUCUUAUUCUUUUUCCCUUUUAUUGUCUCAAUGGCCUACUAAACAUUCGAGGGAUUAUGAGACUAUUUUUUUCUUACGUGAAAGAAAGAAUCAUUUCACUUUCAAUUAGUAUAUUUUCAUUUUCUCAUUGUUCCAAACAAAACUUGAUAACGGAAAACGAGCAUUGGGUAUUUAGAUCUAGUUUGGCCCAACUUUUAAAAAACUUUUUUUUUUUUAAAGUAGAAAUCAUAUUAAACAAAAUAAAAUAAAAAAACAACUAUUAAAGUGAAUUUUUAUAAAUAAGAAAGUUCCGAAAAUAGAUUUUAUCAAACGACUUUAACUUUAUUUUUAAAGACUUCAUUUCUGGGUUCAGCUUUUAGAUAUAUUCUUAAGCUCAAAAAAUGCUAGGCUAAACACACCUUUACUUGAACAAAUGAUUAGUUGAAUUCAUCUUUAAAAUGUGAUUAAUUCAUAAAAUUAAAUUAAUCACAAUUUGAAGUUUGAAUUGAAAUAAUCAUCUCCUCAAUUAAAUUAAUAAUUUUUUUAUACAUAAUUAAUUAAAGGAACAUUUAUGCACAAGUGUAGUAAAAUAGGGGUGCUCAUAAAACAUCAUCAUAUAGAAUAAAAGAUGAAAUAUAUGAACAUAUAAAAAAAAUGAAAUCAUCAUAUAGAAUAUUUACAUUUAUAAAUUCCAAUAUUUGAAAUAGAUUUACAAAAUAAGUGAAUUACUAAAACCUUUGUACAGAUAUAAAUCAUAUGGAAAGAAAUUUGAGUCCAAAUUAAGAAACUCAAUUACAUCAUAUCUUACUAGCUAGCUUUCAUCAUUCAUCUCCAAUAUUUCUUCAUCAUUCAUCACUUUAUUAUUCUUCAAAAACAUUUUGGAGCCUGGUGCCGCAAAUCGAGCUGAGAACGACCUUGAAAAAUGAUCAGGAUCAUUGAUAUAACCAUCAUCAAAAUUCUGUAAAUAAGAGCUAGGAUCAUAUAUAAACAUAGGCGAAGAUGAUAUAAAAAUUCUCCUCUUUUUUUCUCUCUUGAUCUUCCUCCACAGUGUUUUCAACCUAGCUAUCUUGAUUUUGCUCAUAAAUUCAUUGACACAUACAAUAGGGUCAUGGCCAAUUCUCUCAUAACUUGACCAAAUAUUUCUGUUUCUUGAUCCUAGACAGUUGCAAUUUUCAACAUCCAUAGUAUUAAUGUAUGGAGAAGAUAACCUAGAAAUCAUAAAGUAGUUUAAGGAAACAAUGUGUUUGGAGUGUUUUUACUAAGACUAAGAUUAAUGGCUAUAUUUAUAUAGUGAUAGCAUGAAUAACUUUUCUUUCUCUUUUUUUCAAUUUCAUCACCACCACCUCAUCAAUGCACAUACUUUAGGCUACAUUGGACCAACAAAAGGAAAAGGAAAAAGUUAGGAUAAUCCAGCUGUAUUCAAAAUUGCUUUUGAUGUCAACAUUUCUAGUUGUUACUAUUCUACUUUUUUUUAAGUAUUAUUUUAGUGGAGAUACACCAUAGGAGCCAACGUCAUAUGAUAUGAACUAUAUUUUGGAAAAUUUAUUAAGAAAAAAAAGAAAGGAACUUACUGAAAAGAACAAUCUCUAAAACAAUUGAAAUCAAAUACAUGUAUUAUAUAUAGUAAAAUACAAUAGACUAAAAUGUCAUUAACUUAACUAUAACUAAAAAAUCAAUUACAGAUUGUGUAGCUCAAAGUUUAAUGGGCUUUGAUUUUACCUCAAAAGCUAACUAAAAGAUAAGGUUGUCUAAAUACAUUUACAUUAUAUAUCUUAAAAUCUCGCAUUGUAAUUUUUAAUUCGACUCUUGUAUCAAUUAAAUGGGCUAGAAUCUCGUACCAAAAGAUAGUUUAAAUGGUGAAAUUUUCCAAACACGUUUAAGAUUCAAUAGAGAGAAAAUCUGAAUAAUGUAAAACUUAUAAAUAAAAAAUUCAAACAUAAUAUUUAGAAUUAAGAUAAUCAAUGGUAAAAACAAUUAUUUGAACUAAAUAGUACAAUAUAUUAUUCAUUUCAUCAUCACUUUUAUGAAAAAAAUUUACCUUGAUUGAAAAAUGAUAUUUAUCUAAAUUUGAUGGAUGAGAUAACAAAGAGUAUCAUUAAAAGUGCAUUAUUUUUUUUUCUCGGACCAGUAGUCGAGGUAAAUAAGUGGAAAAUGUAUUAUAUUUCACCUCGGUUGGAUUAAUUAACCGAUGUGAAAUACCUCCAUUUCCCUCUCGGUUAGAAAUAAUAUUUGAGGUGAUAAGUGUUAUGGGACUCGGUUGGAAGUUCCAUCGAAGAGAAAUCCCUUAUUUAUUUAAAAUAAAUUUUUUAAAUUUAUAUCAUAUAUCAUAUAUCUUUAUUACAAAAGCUACAUCCAAACUAAGGGAAAAUUCAUUGGGCAAUACAACUAUAGACGAAAGUCGGAUACAAGAUGAGAAAAGUCGCAAAGGUGGAGCCCUUUGUGAACAUACAACAAUGAGCUGAAACUCCAGAACCAAAAGAAAGGAAAAGCUUGAAGAGAAGUUGUAUGUGAUCAAAAAUGAAAUGUAAUUCUCAAUCUCAAUUGUUACAAUAGAGAGCACUACUAUAUAUAGCUAAGACAAGUAGUUAGAUUCUAACUAACUUCUCUCAACUACCUCCAACUAAUCCCUAAAGUUAGUUAGCACAAAGAGAAAACAGAAUUUACAUAGUAUUGUCAUUAUUACAUUGUUUAUUAUUUUCAUUAUCAUUUACAGCCCCCCUCAAGCUGAAUGAAUUAUCAAUCAUUUCCAAGCUGUGGAUUGCAAAGUAAUUGAAAGGACCAGUGAAAAGACUUGGUAAAAAUAUCCGCAACCUGCUCCUUAGAAGUGACAGGCAUGAGAUGAACAACUCCAGCUAGAACUUUCUCACGUACAACAUGACAAUCGAUCUCUAUGUGUUUUGUGCGCUCAUGAAACACAUGAUUGACAGCUAUAUGCAUGGCAGAUUUGUUAUCACAGUAAAGGAUGAUAGAUACUGAAUGAUUGAUGUGAAAAUCAUGAAGAAUAUUGAAAAGCCAAACCCCUUCACAAGUAGCUUGAGCAAGAGCACGAUACUCAGCUUCAGAUGAAGAUUUGGAAAUGACAUGCUGCUUCUUGCUCUUCCAGCUAAUGAGUGAAGUGCCAAGAAAAUAACAAAAACCAGAAGUGGAUCUUCGUGUAUCAGGGCAGGCCCCCCAAUCUGAAUCUGAAAAACCUUUGAGACAUAAAGAGGUAUUAGAUUGAAAAAUGAGUCAUUGGCCUGGACUAUUUUUGAGGUACUUCAAAACAUGUAGACCAGCUAACAUAUGUUUAUCUGUUGGAGCAGCAAGAAAUUGGCUUAGUUUGCUGACAGCAUAGGAAAUUUCAGGUCUGGUAUGUGUAGAUACAAUAAACGACCGAUAAGCCUUCUGUAGGGAGUAGGAUCAGAGAGAGGUGUGCCAUAUGUUUUGUGGAGUUGAAGAUGAGGUUGCAUACGGGGUGGAACAAGGUUUGGCAACCAAGAAGACCAGCAUCAGAAAUCAAAUCAGAGUGUAUUUUCUUUGACAUAAAGAAAUACUUAAGUGCUACGAGCCACUUCAAAGCCUAGGAAAUUUGAGAACCCCCAAGUCUUUGAUACUGAAUUUAGCAUCCAAACAAGUUUUGAAUUGAAAAAUUUCAUGAAAAUCAGUGCCUCCAACUACUAAAUCAUCAACAUAAACCAGAAAUCAUAGUGAAAACCUUGAGAAAAAGUCUUAGUGAAAAGGGAAUAAUCUGCUUUGGAUUGGAUAUAACCUGAUGCAAUAAGGGUGUCAGUGAGUUUUGUAUUCCCAUUGUCUGCUAGCACUGCUUCAGACCAUAAAGAGAUCUUUGUAAAUUUGCAACAAGAUUGGAGCUAGACAAAAUCGAGACCAGGUGGGGCUUCAUGUAAACUUCCUUAUCUAAGAAUCACCAUGAGGAAAAUGUGUUAACAUCAAGUUGGAACAAAGGGCAAAUUGUGAACAGCAGCAAUAGCUAAGCAACUCCUAACAGUGGUCAUUUUCAACAACUGGGACUGAAAGUGUCAGUAUAAUUUAAUCCUUCAGUUUGAGUGAACCCCUGCCAACAAGUCGUGCUUGUACCUCUCAAUAGUACCAUCAGCAUGCAUUUUUACUUUAAAAAUCCACCUGCAGCCAAUGGCUUUCUUGUUUGAAGGUAAGGGCACAAGAUCCCAUGUUUUAGUUUUAACCAGAGCCUGCAAUUCAGUAUUGAUAACAGUUCUCCAAUUCUCAUCACAAAUAGCAUGCUCAUGUGAUGUAGGUUCAGGGUUGGCAGACAAGUUUAACAUGUAAUGUUUAUGAGAAGAUGAAAAGGAAUCAUAGGAUAUAGAAGAUGAAAUAGGAUACUUAUAGGUGGAUGAAGAUGAGGCUACAGCUGAGUCAGGAUGGUGAAGCAGAUUACAAUGAUAAUAUUUUAGAUAGUUAGGGGGAUGAACUUGUCUAUGUGAUCUUCUUACAGGUAUGGGCUCACAGUUAAUAGAAGGAAGAUGAUUGGUUUCAUUGGGAUUGAAAUCUAUAGAAUGAGAAUUAUUCUCAGUAUGACCAUUGUCAACUGAAUUAUUCUCAGUAUGACCAUUGUCAACUGAAUGAUUAAAUGUAGGAUUGGGAACUGAAUUAGGCAGAAACAUAUCAUCAAACAAAUCAUCCAGGUGUGUAGUAGUGUGUGAAGAGGAUGAAGGCAGAGGAAGAUUAUGUUUAUAUGGAAAAUGAGAUUCAAAGAAAGCAACAUCUCUAGAAAUAAACAGUUCCUUAUUAUGCAGAUCAAACAAAAGAUGUCCUUUCGCACCAGGUUUAUGUCCUAGGUUAAUGCAUUUUCUAGAUCUUGAAUCUAAUUUCUUUCUAUUGGAUUUUAGAGUGGCUGCAUAGCACAAAGAACCAAAAACUUUCAGGUUGGUCAUGUCAGGUAAAAUGUUGUACAGAAUUUGGUAGGGUGACUUGUGUUUUAAGAAAAGUGUGGGAAGUCUAUUUAUGAUAUGAACAACAUAACUCACUGCAUGAGCCCAAAAUAAUGGAGGCAAAUGAGCUUGAAAUAAAAGAGCUCUAGUGAUGCCCAAGAUAUGUUGAUGUUUUCUUUCAACAAUACCAUUUUGUUGAGGUGUAGCCACACAAGAUGUUUGGUGAAUGAUACCUAAUUGAUUGUAAAAAUCAGGCAUCAAAAACUCAUUGCCAUUAUCUGAUCUAAUGCACUUGACAUGACAGUUGAAUUGAGUUUUAACCAAUGCUACAAAAGACUUGACAUGAGAAGUGGUUUCAGAUUUUAGUCUCAUAAGAUACAGCCAUGUAAAUCUACUCUUAUCAUCAACUAUAGUUAAAAAAUACCUAUAGCCCAUCAUGGAUGGUAUGGCCAAUGGACCCCAAAUAUCCAUAUGUAAUAUGUCAAAGGUGGAUUGAGAAGCAUGAGAACUAGGAGAAAAAGGCAUUCUUUUCUGUUUUGCAUAAAAACAUACAUCACAAGGCAAUUUGAUAUUGACAGGUUUGAUGAAAGGAAAAUCUUUAUUGAGUUCAAUCAAUUUGGAAUUAGAAGCAUGUCCUAAUCUGAUAUGCCAUAGGCUACAUUCAGGAUAAUGACUAUUUGAAUUAUUAACAGAAGAAUUGAUACAAUGUAUGGGAGGUGUUUUAGGUAAUGUAACUGAAGGAGAGGUCAAGAGAUAUAAUCCACCAUGUAACUCAGUUGUGCCAAUCAUCUUCAGAGAAAACUUGUCCUGUACAGUACAUGAAUUAUCAUUAAAAACAAGUUGACAAUUGAGUAAUUUGGUUAAUUUUGUGACAGAAAUGAGAUUAAAAACAAAAUUAGGUAAAUAAAGAACAUCAGUGAUGUAAAAGUUGCUGUUAAACUGAAUAGUGCCUGAAAGAUUAGUGGUAACAAGACUGCCAUUUGGGAGUUUGAGGGUAAUGGGCUUAACUUGCUUAAGACACUGAAAAUAUUCACGAGUAAAACAAACAUGAUCAGUUGCUCCUGUAUCUAAUAUGAAUGAUGCAGCAUGAAAGGAAUUUGGGAUAGUGCAGAUAGUACCUGAUCCAAGAUUAGUUUGAGAGGUUAACUGGUUAGUGGUAUGAGAUUGCAAGUGUGAUGAGCCUUGAAGUAAGGCUAGCAAUGCUUGAUGCUGCUCUGGUGUAAAAGCCAAACCAUGAGAUGCUGGUGCACUUGCUUCAAUAUCAGAUCCUGAUGUGUUUUCAGGUCUAUCAGAUGCAGUAUUGCAUUGAUUGAUUGCACCUUCAUGCUUCCAAUGAGGAGGAUAACCAUGUUUUUUAAAACAAGUAUCAAUGGUGUGAUUAGUCAUGCCACAAUGUGUGCAAACACGAUUAUUUCUGCCCCUGCCACCAGAAGAUCUGCCUCCUCUAGUGCUGCCUCUACCAUGCAUAUUGGAAUAUGAUUUAGACUGAGUAUCACGAUUAGUCUGAUGCUGAUCAGAAGAUGGAGUGACCAAAAUCUUGGACUCAUCAAUGGGAAGAUUAGCUUGUCUUUCUUGUUGAACAAGCAAGGAAUAUACUUUGCAAAUGCUAGGGAGAGGAUCCAUAAGCAUUAUUUGUGACCUAAUAGCAGAGUAUUGAUCAUUCAGCCCUUUCAAGAAACGAAUUACUUGAUCACUAGCUUUGUAAGCACGAAUCUUGGUAAUGGCAAGACAAGUAGUAUCACAUUCACAUUCAGGAAUAGGUCUAAAAUUAUCUAGUUCUUGCCAUAAAAUCUUCAGUUUUGUGUAAUAUGAAGAAACAGAAGCAUCUCCUUGUUUCAAUGUGCAGAUUUCUUCUUGGAUAUAAGAAAUUCUAAAAAUAUCGCCUUGAUAAAAAUGCUCCUUGAGCUCAUUCCACAUAUCAGUAGCAUUCUCCAUCCAAAGAAUACUUUGAGCAAUUUCAACUUCUACAACAUUCUUGAUCCAAGACAUGAUCAUGGUGUUGCAUCUAUCCCAAGCUAUGGAAUUUGGAUCAAGAUCAGAAGGUCGUGGCAAAACACCAUUGAUGAAAUGCAAUUUGCUCUUAGAACGAAGAGCCAUGGUCAUGGAGCGCGACCAAGAGUGAUAAUUGUUAUUGGAAAGUAAUGGUGUAACCAGAAUCAAAGAAGGAUUUUCAUUGGGAUGCAUGAAAUAAGGGUUUAGGAUAUCAUUUUGAUAACCUUUAUUGUUGUUUCUUGAAGCAGAUUCACCAUGAUCGCUGCUAUUAGAGUUUGAAGAUGACAUGAUGAGAAACAACAAAGUUGCAGAGGCUGUAGAAAAAUUGGAUCGAAAGAAGAAGAAGAAUAACAAUGUUGCAGAGACUGCAGAAAAGUUGGAUCGAAAGAAGAAGAUUGAGAAAGAUCAUAGCGGAAAGCAGAAUCACAGGCUUGUGAUACCAUGUGAACAUACAACAAUGAGCUGAAACUCCAUAACCAAAAGAAAGGAAAAGCUUGAAGAGAAGUUAUAUGUGAUAAAAAAUGAAAUGUAAUUCUCAAUCCCAAUUGUUACAAUAGAGAGGACUACUAUAUAUAGCUAAGACAAGUAGUUAGAUCCUAACUAACUCCUCUUAACUACCUCUAACUAACCCCUAAAGUUAGUUAGCACAAAGAGAAAACAGAAUUUACAUAGUAUUAUCAUUAUUACAUUGUUUAUUAUUUUCAUUAUCAUUUACACCUUUACUCAACACACCAUAAAACAAGAACUAUUAUAACUGUCUCCUAUAGGUAAGUGUGACCAUGAGUCAUGUACAUGUAUUCUUUUACACAUAUUUGUAUAAUUCCACCUCAUUCAAACAUUGACUAAGAGAGGGAUAACCUAUUGCAUGUAGUCUGCUCUGUUCACCAGAAAAUCAUAACCAUUAUAUUAAAAGCUUAUAUGUAAUGAUCAUCUUCAAUAUUUAAUCUAUUCUUAAUUCUAGUACGAAAUAAAAUAUAAGAUACUUAACUUUAACCGCAAACUAUUAUAACUCUAAUUUCAAUAGUUUAAUUAUGUCACCUGACACUCUUUUUCCCAUUUCUAAUUUUGUUUGGAACUAUGGCGAAAUAAAGAAUGUAAGUCAAAUGAUCCUUUCACAUUAAAGAAAAAUUAGUCUUCUAAUUUCUCAAAGGUUUGAUGGGCCAUUAACAAAGAAAACGAGAAAAUUAGUCUUCUAACUUCUCAAAGGGAAUUGCGCACAUGUAGACAUGGUCAAUCGAACAAGUCGAUGAACAGGAAAUAUCACCCUAACACAGGGUGUUAUGUAUCCCACAAAUAUAGGGAAUAACCAAACACUAGUUGUGUAAAUUGUAGAAUGAGGCGGUAUUUUAUGCAGGUCACGUUGUUAUGGACAAUGAGAUAGUUUCAUAUAUAAAUAUCACGCUUUGUAAAUUUCAUAACACAUUUAACAUAAGUUUUUUUACUCUUAAUUUAAUGCAUUUUUUAUACCAAUAGUUCAAAUUUUCGCGUGUGUACUUAACGUUCUUUAGAGUAUAUAGCUAAGAAAUUUGUUCUUGAGAGACAAAGUUCCUCCUUCAAUCUAAUCGCUUAAAGCAAAAAAGAAGUCAUGGUUGAUAAUUCUCUAGUGAUUUUCUGCUAAGUUUCACAAUUCAAAAAUAAAUAUGACACACCUGCAAGACACUGACUAUAAGGUAAAUUGUGAUGUUCUAUUUAAAUAACUUUAUAGAACACUGACUAUAAGGUAAAUUGUGAUGUUCUAUUUAAAAAUCCAACGUAAAUUAUGAUGUUCUAUUUAAAUAACCUUCUGAUCACGUAAAGAGUUAGGGAAAAAUAUCUUUUUGGUUAUCUGAGAUUCAACGAAUAUUUCCUCGUGUAGAAAGUUGAUUUCUUGAAGUGUCCAACCAAGUACAAAUAUUAUCCAACCUUUUGGUGAAAGUCUUCAACGUCUCAUUCUCUCUUUAUUUAAGGAGCAGAAGACCUGAAGAACAAAAACAACAAUACAACACAUUGCUUUACAGACUCUGAACCUUGACAUUCAAAGAGAAGACACUCUGUCAAAUUUGCUAGAAUAAGAACAUCUUAAAAUUGUCUAUAUUUUAGAAGUUCUUAAGUCUUAGAGUCUUUCUAAAUUUUAUUUUGUCUACACCUCUGAUUGCAUAUGAAGUGUAGUGUUGACCAAAAUCUCUUAACAAGUUGUUAUAGAGUCGGAAGUCUCUUGCUUUAGUGCUUGAGCAUUUGGAAGUCUCUUACUUGUGUGCUUGAACAUAAAAGUCUCUUACUUGUGGGUUUGAGCAUUAAAAAUCUCCCGUGUGUGUGCUUGAGCAUAGAAGUCUCUUACUUGUGGGUUUGAGAAAAGGAAGUCUCUUGCUUGUGUGCUUGAGCAUUGGAAGUCUCUUGUUUAGUACUUGAGCAUAUGUAAUCAAAUUUGGCUAUAGUAAAAAUUUCUUGAAAGUGCAAGGGGACUAGACUACUCUCAAGUUGUGAGAGGAACCAGGAUGACUGCUUAUGUCUUUACUUUUAUUUUCCUUGCUUCUGCAAUUAUUAUUCCGUUGUUGUCAAGUCUGAUCUUCUAAAUCAAAUUUUGGUUCAGAAUCUGAUAAUGUUUUUUAAAAGUAAAUCAAGGUUUUCUGAGUCACACUCUGAAUCAAGUGUUCAGAAUCUGAUUAAGAACUAUCAGAAGUAGAAAAAGAAAAGAUUAGAAGAGAAAAAGUCAAAACAAUUCAACCCCCUUCUUAUAUUUUUCACACCUUCAAUGACAAUUGAUUUGAAGAACCUGAAACAAUAGGUAAAUGGCUGGAAAUUUACUACGUCGAGAAGUUAAAAAAAAGGAUAUCAAUUGUUUGGUCCAUUUUCAUGGCACUGAAUAUGUAUCAGUCAUAGCCAUCAACAUAAUGCAUCCUCUAACUAAAAGAGAUAACUAAAAGAGAAACGUAUUACGCAUAUCAUGAUAAAUGUGUUUGGCAAACUUCACCAUUUGAAUUAUCUUUUGGUAUGAAAUCCAAGUCCAUUUAACUUGAUAUCAUAAUCGGGUUAAAGUGUGCAUUAUGAGAAUUUGACUUAAGUCACAUUAUGCGUGAAGGUGAAUUUGAAAUUGUAUUAGUGUUGUUGAAGUUGUAUGAGAGUGUCCUAUUGUUUAAAUUUCCCGACUACUAGAUAUAUAAAUUUAUUUGGGCAACUUUAUUCUUUAGAUAACAUUUGAGAUGAGAUCAAACCCCAUUUAACUCAUUUUCUUAAAAAACAUAUUCCCAAAUAAGUAGUUCAUGUGACGUAUGCUCGAAGGGUGUGUCUUAAAUGACACUUUUAUUCAAAAACUAUGCAUGGCUAAAAUUUGGUGACCUCUUGGAUGUUUGAAACAUUGUUUUUCUUUGUCCAUAGUAACUUGACAAUUAAACAAUCACAUGUAGUCUUACGUAGUAUCACAGUCAAUUAAUCUUUAAAAAUGUAAUAUAGUAACAACUUUAAAUGCUGACAUCCAAAGGUAUUUUUAAUAUAGCUGGAUUAUCCAAACUUUUCUACUUUUCUUUUUGUUGGUCCAAUGUAGCCCAAAGUAUGUGCAUUGAUGAGGUGGUGAUCAGGAAAUUGAAAAAAGAAAAAGAGAAGUGACUCAUACCAUCACUAUAUAAAUAGCCAUUAAUCUUAGUCUUAGUAAAUCCACUCCAAACACAUUGUUUCCUUAAAUUACUUUAUGGUUUCUAGGUUAUCUUCUCCAUACACUAACACUAUGGAUGUUGAAAAUUGCAACUGUUUAGGAUCAAGAAACAUAAACAUUUGGUCAAGUUAUGAGAGAAUUGGCCACGACCCUAUUGUUUGUGUCAAUGAAUUUAUGAGCAAAAUCAAGAUUGCAAGAUUGAAAACAUUGUGGAGGAAGAUCAAGAGAGAAAAAAAGAGGAGAAUUUUUAGAUCGUCUUCGCCUAUGUUUAUAUAUGAUCCUAGCUCUUAUUUACAGAAUUUUGAUGAUGGUUAUAUCAAUGAUUCUGAUCAUUUUUCAAGAUCAUUUUCAGCUCGAUUUGCAACACCAGACUCCAAAAUAUUUGUGAAGAAUAAUAAAGUGAUGAAUGAUGAAGAAAUAUUGGAGAUGAAUGAUGAAAGCUAGCUGGUAACAUGUGAUGUAAUUGAGUUUCUUAAUUUGGACUCAAAUUUCUUUCUAUUUUAUUUUCUUGUGGAUUACUAUACCAUUUAUAUUUGUACAAAGGUUAUAGUAAUUCACUUAUUUUGUAAAUUUAUUUCAAAUGUUAGAAUUUGUAGAAGUAAAUAUUAAUCUAUAGGAUGAUUUCAUUUCCCUUUUAAUUUUUUUCUACAUAUAUUUCCCUUUUAAUUUAAAGAAAAAUGCUUUAUCGACACCCCUUUUUUUAGACACGUGAGACAGUUAAUUAAUCAUGUGCAAAAAUAUUGUUAAAUCAAUUGGGUUAACCCUUGAAAUUGUGGUUAAUUUAAUUUUAUGAAUGGUCCCUAUUUUAAUAUGAAUUGAAUUAGUUAUUUAUAAAAAUGUUACUAAUCAAUUGAGUAGAUAAUUACUUUAUUUCCCACUUAAAAGUGUGGCUAAUUUAAUUUUAUGAAUUAACCAUAUUUUAAGAUAAAUUGAACUUAGUGAAUUGAUUAUAUUUUUCUUUAUAGAUAAGGAUACAUAAAGAAUGUAUAUUUAUUAGGAUUUUAGUUUAAGGUGUGUUUGGUCUAGUUCUUGCGGAAAUGUUAUCUUAUUUUAAUCUAAAAAUAAUUACUUUAAAAAGAAAAGUAGGAACCUGACACCACUUAUUAAAGAUUAUCUUUCUUUUCUCUUUCGAUUUUGGAUAUGCUAACAAGUUGAUUUGAAUGCAUUUCUUUGGUCGAUUUCUCGAAGGCCACCAACUUCUUAUAUAAGGCCAAGCAUGGCCAAACUUCUUAUAUAAGGCCAAACUUCUUAUAUAAGGCCACCAACUGAUUUUUCAAAUAUAAUUCCUUUAGAGACUGACAUGUUUCCUUGUAAGUAUUUGAACAAGCUCCUAUUAAUGGCUUUAAAUCCAAUAUUUAUUGAUGAUAUCAGAGCAAGUAGAGGGAGGAUCGGGUUUUAUGUGGUAGAUCUCCGUAUUCGUCUCAUCGCUCAAAUGAGUAAUUAGGUAGAAGUGAUCGUCGAAAUUCUCCAUGCUUUCAAAACAUGCUUCAAAGUAUCAGACAUGUUGCAUCAAGGAGAGCACACCAUAACCGUUUAUAUAAGUGGGGCUAUUUUGAAUCUUGAAGAGAUGAGAAAACAACAUCACGAUAGGCUUACCCAUGUUUAACUCACACAAAUAUUGGAAGGCAUUAACAAAUGCCCAGCUCACUAGAUGCAACUAUGAAGGGCAAUCGACAGUGAUUCAAUAUGUCGAUUUUGAAGUAGUUAAAGGGAAGACAAUAGCAUAUGAUGGAGAACAAACAUUCAUGAAAAAGGAUAGCACAUCACCCAUAUCGGUUGCAAAUCCUCUCAUCUUCAUCUGAGGGAAAGGCGCCCCCAUAAUGAAGGAGUGCAAGAUCAAAGAAAGCAUGGACUUUUGAAUCAAAAGAAGGAUCAAUCCAAGCAUGGAAAACCAAUAUCGACGAACAAAAUCGUCGAGAGUGAUCCAACAUCAAAACGAAUUGCUCCUAAGAAAGAACAAUAGAAGAAACAAAAAUACUCUCCUCGCAGAUAGCCUACAAUAAAAAGGGCAAGGGAAUGCUUCAAAAGUACUUUAUACUCUAUCAGACACCUAGGAUCGUACGAUCCAUAAUAAAUUACCACAAAUUGAGAUCUUCUUAGAAAUAGUUUAGGAGCACUCGAAUUCUCUUAAGAGGGAGAAAAGUCAGUGCUAGCCAACAGGAAAAGAUGUGUCAGCCACUCUCAACAUUACGAUACGACUCCUAAGAGGGGCCUUUUAAUCCGCGAAUUCCUGAAGAUAGCAAUGUCCCAUCGGGAAAGCCCACAUGCAUUAUUCUUGUGGCAAGAUAGUAGUGCAUGCCAUAAUCCUUCACCUUGUAAAGCAAAAACAAGGGCUUAAGGGCAGCUAUUUUGGGCCGACUGAAAGCCCUAGAAAUCAAUGACUCAAUAAUAAAGAAAGAAGCUAUUGUAUGAAGAACAUGUAAGCUUUCUCUUAUGACAAACAAUAUUAAUUAACGAUGUAAAUCUGUGAGAAAGAGCGAGUUUCUUGAACAACCAAGAAAUGAUUCAGUUUUACGAAGGAGGGAGAAGAGGGAAAAAGAAGAAGAAGAAGAAGAAGAAGAAGAAGAAGAAGAAGAAGAAGAAAGAAUUGGUUAUAACUGUUUUCUAUUCACUUUUUCAAUUAGGGCUUAAAGACUACAAGUGAAUAACAACAACAAACUAUCACUCUAACAAGUGAGAGAAAUGAUAUAUUUAUAGACUACUAGCAUAUGUAUGUUACGUAUGAUGAUAACUCUUUUAUAUGACAUACAUAUAUACUACAUAACUAACUUAGACCACUGCAUGCUUGAGCAAACCUCGAUUACAACAUGCACAUUUGACCCAGUUGAAUCCCCCUUAUAGAGAAUGGAGUUUGAUCCAAUACUAAAAAUCUCCUUCUUGGAACAAACUCCAAAACAUCAAGGGAAUAAGCUAGCUAUCUUCAUGCAACUUUAUCAGUUGCAUACAAUGAAAGAACUUGCUACUAGGCAAUGACUUGGUGAUCAUAUCAGCAACAAUAUAUUCAUUUGAAACCUUCAGCACUUUCACUUCUCCAAUUUCUAUGCAUCACUUUAUAUUCAUUCGAUAGCUUGGCCUUGAAGUUUGAGUUCCUUAACAAACCCUUCAAGCUACAAUGCUUCUUUUACAACUUCAGUGAGGGAAAUAUAUUCAGCUUUAGUGGUUGAUAGGGCUACAACCUUAUGAAGCGUCGCCUUUCAACUGAUUGUUGUACCAAACAUAGUGAAAACAUAAACUGAAAAAGAUUUUAUGGUAUCCAUACAUCCUGCAUAUUCAGUGUCAACAAAUCGUUCGACUUCGACUUUGCCAUCAUUUUUGCCUCCACGAUAAACUAGAACCCUCCUCAGGGAUCCUUUUAUGUAUUUCACAAUUGACUUUAAAGCUUGCCAGCGUGCCUUCCUAGAAUUGACCAUAUACUCGCUUAAAAAAGAUCACUUUGUAAGCUAUGUCUGGCCUCGUACAGGACAUAUCAUACAUCAAAAAACCUACCAUACUAACAUAAGGAGUGUCAUUCAUAUAGGCUCUUUCAAAUUUAAUACUCAGACUUUGAGUCAUACUCAGCUUGAAUUGAGGAUUUGUUGGUGUUACGACAGGAUUUGAGUUUGACAUACCAAAUUUGUCGAGAAUCUUCCUUAGGCGUGUCUCUUAAGAUAAGAAAAAUAUUGACUGCUUUAUAUCUCUCCGGAUGUCAACCCCAAGAAUCCUGGUGGUAUCUCUUAGAUCCUUAAUUUCGAACUCCCUGUUGAGUUCAGCAUUCACCAGCAUUACAUCUUUGAAGUUGUCGUUUUCUAUAAGGAUAUCGUCCACAUAAAGCAACAAAAUAACAAGUGAACUCCCAGGUCAAAAUCUUGCGUAUACACAGUGGUUGAACUGGCUCCUAGUGAAACCUAUGUGUGCCAUGAACUUAUCAAAUCUCUUAUUCCACUGUCGAGGAGAUUAUUUCAGGCCAUACAAUCACAUAUCCAGCUUGCACACAUAAUCCUCCUUGCCACUUUCUUCAUACCCUUCAGGUUGCUUCAUCAGAGUUAUUUAAUCUAAAUCACCAUACAGGAAGGAGGUCUUCACAACCAUCUGUUCAUGUUCUAAGUCGAACUUCGCCAGUUGAGCCAACAACAUUCUAAUGGAUCUAUGUUAUAUAAUAGUUGAGGACACAUCAUUGAAGUCAACUCCUUCUUUCUAAGUGAACCCUCUAACAACCAACCUUGCCUUAAAUCUCUUCGACAUCACUCCUUAGAUUCCUUCCUUAACCUUGAAAAUCCACUUAUAACUGACUAACCUGGAUCAUGCAGGUUUUUCGAUUAGCUUCCAAGUGUGGUUAUCAUGAAGAUAUUUCAUAUCAUCAUCCAUGGCUUUUAGACAUUCAGACUUAUUUCCACUCCUCACAGCUUCCUUGUAAUCUAUAUGUUCUUCAUCAAGUACCUCAUUAGCAGAUAUUAAAGCAAACAUUAUGAUAUAUGUAUAACCAAGUCUCUGAGGUGGCUUGAUGACUCUUCUCGACCUGUCUCUUAGCAGCAGGUAGUCGUUAAUAAUUUCCUCAUUUACUCAGCAUCAUGUGCUUCUUCCUCGACUCCAUCCGAGUUAUGCAAUUCAGCAUCAAUAUGUUCCACCUCAACAUGAAUCUAUUCCUAUUCCAGCUCUUUUUAAUAGAUCUUUGCAUUUCAACUAGAGUCCUCUAGUUUCUUGAAUUCCAUUUUUGCUUCAUUGUAAACCACAUCAUGACUUGAGAUACAUCUUCUGUGACCUGGUUCUAGGCAUCACAAUCUAUAGGCUUUAACUCCCUCAGGAUACCUAUGGAACAUGCAUCUCAAAGCUCUAGGUUUGAAUUUGUCUUGCCUAAUAUACGCAUAGGCUAUGCAGCCAAAUACUCUAAGUUUAUCAAGAUCUAGUGGAUGACCAGACCAAACUUCUUUAAGUGUAUUCAUACCAAAGGCAGUAAAGAGACACAUAUUUAUUAGGUAUGUUGCAGUCAUAGCAGCCUCAGCCUAAAGUACCUUCUUUUAUCCAACACUAACCAACAUGCAUUUAACCCUUUCAAGGAUAGUUUGAUUGAAUCUCUCAGCCUGCCAUUAUCGGUCCUUAACCUCUUAACUUUCCUGCAAGUCUUAUUUUCGACCAGAGUCUUCCAACUUUUGAAAUUCUUAAAAGUUUCAUCCUUAGUCUUCUUAGUGAAUAUCCAUAACUUUAUGAAAUAAUCAUCAAUUAUGGAUAGAAAAUACCUUGCACCUAAGUGUAAAGGAUUUCUUGCAGGCCCCCAAAGAUGAGCAUGAGUGUAAUCACGGGAUCCAUUUGUUCUUUGUUUCCUUUAUUAAAAUUCAUUUUGCAUGCUUUACCAAACAAACAAGGCUUACAUAACUCCAUCUUUUCAACCUUGUACUACCUAGUAGGUUUUGUUUCCCCAAUUCAACCACGCCCCUUUCACUGACAUAGCCUAAUCUCAUGUGCCAUUGUUCUGUCUUUGGCAUAAGUUUUAUGGAUGCAAUAUAUGUUGAACCACUUAAAACCUCAGCCUCAAGGGUAUACAAGUCUUGCUUCUUUUUGCCUCUCAAGACUUCCUUCAACCCCUUUAUGACUCUCAGGAUACCUUGCUCUCAUAUGAAAACACAUCCUUUCUUGUCGAAUUCACCAAGAGAAAUUAAAUUUCUCUUAGGAUCAGGUAUGCACCUGACAUCAAUCAACAACUUUAUUGACUCAUCACCAAGCUUGAAUCUCACAGAUCCAAUACCUACAAUUUUUCAGACUUUGUUAUUUCUCAGCAGCACUGAUCCACCAUAUUGAUCACAUAAUUCCUCAAACAUGUCUUUGUUUGGAUUCAUGUACCAAGUACACCCUGAAUCCAUAAUCCACUCCUUUUUAGAGUUGCUUCUUGAAAUCACAAGAACAUCAUAUGAUUCAUAAUCAUCUUGCAUAAUGGACGUGUUGCCAUUAUCCUUACCUCCAUCAUUAUUCAGACGUUCAGGGCACACCUUUCUUGUAUGACCCUCCUUCUUAUAAUGAUAAAACAUAAUUGGAGGUGCAUCACCACCAUAAGACUUCUACUGGCCUUUACCCUUCUUCUUCUCAAACCUACCAUCCUUCUUUGAUAAUUUCCCUUUAACAAACAAUCAUUCACCAACAGACGAUGGCUUUUGCUCCAUUCAUUCGUUCAAAUCCUUAGAGUACAAGACUAAUUGAACUUCUUCAAAGGUCAGAGACUCUCUUCCAUACAAGGGAAUUUCUUUGAAAUGAACAUGAUAUUUAGGUAAAGCACGCAACAAUAACAAUGUUUGAUCUUCAUCAUCGAUACCAACCUUGAUAUUCUCCGUAUCAAGAAUCUGCUUGUUGAACAUAUCCAAUUGCUCCGUCAAGACUUUGUCUUCACUCAUCUUGAAUGAAUAUAUACUCUGCUUCAGGUAUAAACGAUUGACCGGAGAUUUAGUCAUAUACAACCCUUCGAGUUUUCUCCACGCACUUGCUUCUGUUUUGUCCUUCGACACCUGCUAGAGAACCUUAUCACCAAGGCUCAAUAUGAUGGCACUUUGACCUUUCUCAAUCAUCUUCGUCUUCUCCUUCUCUGUUAGGGAAGGAUCCAUCUUCUCCGAUCCUUUCAACGCUUCUAACAAAUUUUACUGAAGUAGAAGAGCUUGCAUUUUCAAGCGCCAUAAAUCGAAAUCAUUCACUCAGGUGAAUUUCUCAAUUUCAUACUUCGUUGACGACGUCUUGAUUCACGCUCACCGUGCCAGUUUGUUAUGACAUAUUAUACCAAUUAACGAUGUAAAUAUGUUAGAAAAAGUAAGUUUCUUGAACAACCAAUAAUACACUUUCAUUCCCCAUAAUUGCAGACUAUCCCUCAAAAGGAUGUUAUGUUCAUUUUUCAUAUCAAUCCAACAGUUGGCCGCAUCUCAUGUUUGUUUUCCACACAUGCAAAUGCCAACUAUUUUUCUUAUUUAAAGAGAAAAAUAUAUCACUUUACAGUUACUCCGAUUCUUUCUCAUUUAAACUUCAUUUCUCAUUCUCUAAGUGAAUAAGCGUUAGAGAAAGAUAUAGCUAAAUUUAUGUGACCUCUUAGAUGUUCGAAACAUUGUUUGUCUUUCUCCACGGUAACUUGUCAAUUAAACAAUGCCCCGUGUAGUCUACGUAGUAUAAUAGUCACAAUGAAUUUUUAAAAAAGAAAUAUAAUAACAGCUUGAAAUGUUGACAUCAAAAGGAGUUUUUAAUAGAGUUGGAUUAUCCUAACUUUUUUGCUUUUCUUUUUGUUGGUCCAAUUUAGCUAAAUGUAUGUGCAUUGACGAGGUAGUGAUGAGGAAAUUGAAAAAAGAGAAAGAAAAGUGGUUCAUGCCAUCACUAUAUGAAUAGCUCAAUCUUAGUCUUAGUAAAUCCACUCCAAACACAUUCUUUUCUUAAGCUACUUUAUGAUUUCUAGGUAAUCUACUCCACAUUUUUUUAAAUCUAUGUCAAAUAUUUGAAUUUGUAAAAUAAAUAUUCUAUAUGAUGGCUUCAUUUCUCUUUUAGUUUUUUCAUAUAUUUCAUCUUUUUGAAGGAUAUAUUUCAUUUUUAAAGAUUAAAAAUUAAUUUUGUAAAUACAUAGUAAAUAUUAUUUAUAAAGUUCUAAAUAACUGUUUUACUCACACGCGUACACACACACCCGCAUCCACACGCACGCGCACGUCUGCUUACAAUCUCAAAAUUAAUUAUACUGGAGUUAUUUCUUUGGUUUGAACGACUCGCGGUUUUUACUUUCAUAUUGAGUGGUUUUCCACGUUAAAAAUAUCGGUGUUCUUUUGUAUCUUUUAUUUGUUCGAUUUUCCGCCUUAUAAUUUUUAUUGAUCCUCGAGGUUCCUACAAGUCUGUGAAAUUUUAUAUCCGUUAUGUAUUGGUCUUUUAUUGUGUCUUAAUUUCUCAUCAGAGUGGCAUCAGAGCUCUUGGUUAAGGGUUAUUUUACUUGUUUGAAUGAUGGAGUCAAAUACAAAGAUGAGGAUUCUAUUAUUGAACAGUUCUAAUUAUCAUUUAUGGAAGGGCAAGAUGAAAGACUUAUUAUUUAUGAAGAAAUUGCACUUACUGAUUUUUAUUUCCGCGAAGCUGGAUUGUGUGUCUGAUGAAGAAUGAGAGUUUGAACAUUAAUAUGUAUGUGAUUUUAUUCGACAAUAUGUAGAAGAUAAUGUUUAUAAUCAUAUUGCUAAUGAGAUUCAUGCAAAAAAUUUAUGGGAGAAGAUAAAGUCCUUGUAUGCCUCUAAAUCAGAGAAUAAUAAAUU